AUUGAGAACGAAGGAAAUUAAAAACGGUAGGCUGGCUAUGCUUGCUGUGCUGGGCGCCGUCGUUCAGGCCAACUACACCCACACUGGCCCAAUCGAUAACUUGUUGGCCCAUCUUGCUGACCCUGGUCACAACACCAUCUUUGCCCUGAGCAACCUUGUUGGAAAGUAGAUAACUGCUCCAUUCGUUGAAACCACCGUAUACCGUUGCGGACCCAAAGGUCAAAGGAGAUGUCAGCAAUGUCGAUCUUAGUCUUGUAUAACGUGCUUAGCUUCAUUCUGCAACUCCUUUCGUCACCAUCAAGGCUGUCACUCCUAUGAUGUAUUUGUACACUAUGUAUGCGAGACUCAGAAUUUUCAAUGAUCUACUCUCCAGUUUUCACCCUCUAACAUCUGCUAUGCAACGCAAUGUCUGAAACGCAAAUUCUAUGAUCCCCUCGGUCAGUCGGUUAUAAAAGAAUAUUUCUGGACAGUCAACUGUAAUUAAUUCCUAGUACUCCAUGAUUUAUUCUCUUCAACUGUGUUUCUCUUUAUUUAUCACAGUUGAAAGAGAUUAUUACAGAUACAGUCACAUCACUCCAUUCUACAUUUGUCAUGCAGUAGCCUCAUCACAUCAUAGACGUGGAAAAAUGAACACAUCUACCCGCUCUCUAUUGUUCACACAUGCGUUCAUGCAUUCAUUAAACUGCAUUACAUUGCUCCAGCUAUGUGAAAGGAAAAAAUUGUAUUGAUAGUCAGUACACCAUGCGCCUCUUCCUGCUCUGUGGAAGGGAGAGAUGAAUUUGGGGGCAGGGGAUGUAACGAAGAAGGCUGGUUCGCACUUACUGUUUAGGGUAAUUUGAUUGGCAUGCAACCAACUUCAUCACUUUCAUUGAAUAAAGACGCGUACCAGGCAUUCCUCUGGGGCGAGUCCGUUUUCGUGACAAAUCCUUCUCCGCUUUGGUAUUGAAGGAUAAAGAACAUGUGCAUCAAAUUUUGAGCCGAAAUAGAAUUGGUGCCUUGCUAGCACCUGAUACUAGAUGAACGGAUAAUCUAAAUGGUCUCCUCUUUCCAGAACAUUUUAAUAAGCUCUACACAAUUAUUUCUGUCUAUUUGUUCAAAAAUAAAUUGUAUGUGUUAUUAAAAACAGAAACCUUUAACCGCACCCCUGCUGCCAUUAUUUAAGAAACUCCCAACAAUUGGUUACAUGGCAGUGAGCUGCUCACAAAAUUUGGGGCAGCUACCCAGCACCCAUAUCCAAACACGUGCAUGGAAGACGGACGGAUGAAGUAAAAAGGUUAGAGUACGAGCUACUGGGUGCAUGUUCAGCGAAACCGGCAUAUUUGGAUGAGUAUUUUUAGGUUCAUCGGGAACAUCGGAUCGUUAAACCUGAGUUGGAUGAUAAAUCUCAGCAAGGAAGGCCCGGGUGGGGAUCAUCCAAGUCUGGCUUAUGAAUGAAUCAGGAAUGUAGACGUUGAUUUAUAAGAUAACGACAUUCGUUCUACUUGGGAUGAAGUUAGGGCUCGACAUCCUCAGCCCUAUAGAUUGUUAUCCUUCGUAUCGGCCAUUCCUUUCAGCGUGCAUCUCUAGCCGCAGUGUAGGUUUCUCUUGUUGCUGUUUUAGGAGGCUUGGUCGCAGCCAUGUCUCACAGGAAGUUCGAGCACCCUCGUCACGGGUCCUUGGGGUUUUUGCCCCGCAAGAGGGCUUCACGCUCCCGCGGGAAGGUGAAGACCUUUCCCAAGGAUGAUCCCGUCAAGAAGCCCCACUUGACCUCUUUCCUUGGCUACAAGGCCGGCAUGACUCACAUUGUUCGCGAGGUGGAAAAGCCCGGAUCCAAGCUGCACAAGAAGGAGACAUGCGAGGCCGUCACCAUCGUCGAGACGCCACCCAUCAUCGUCGUAGGGUUGGUGGCUUACAUCAAGACUCCUCGCGGGUUGAGGUCGUUGAACACGGUGUGGGCUCAGCACCUGAGCGACGAGGUGAAGAGGAGGUUCUACAAGAACUGGUACAAGUCGAAGAAGAAAGCCUUCUCUAAGUACAGCAAACGGUAUGAAUCUGAGGAGGGCAAGAGGGACUUGCAGUCUGAGUUGGAGAGGAUGAAGAAAUACGCUAGCGUGAUUCGUGUCCUUGCCCAUACACAGGUACGCAAGCUCAAGGGUAUUAAGCAGAAGAAGGCUCAUUUAGCAGAGAUUCAGGUUAAUGGAGGUACCAUAGCCGAGAAAGUAGACUUCGGAUACAACCUGUUCGAGAAGCCCGUGCCUGUGGACGCCGUUUUCAACAAGGACGAGAUGAUUGACAUCAUCGGUGUCACACGCGGUCAUGGAUACGAGGGUGUGGUUACCAGGUGGGGAGUUACACGUCUUCCCAGGAAGACUCACAGGGGUUUGAGGAAGGUUGCUUGUAUUGGGGCCUGGCAUCCAGCCCGUGUGUCAUUUACUGUCGCCAGAGCUGGACAAAACGGAUACCACCACCGCACAGAGAUGAACAAGAAGGUGUACAAGGUAGGAAAGUCCGCUGACAAGGAGUCAUUCUCUGCUUCUACCGAGUUCGACGUGACCGAAAAGGAGAUAACUCCUAUGGGAGGCUUUGCCCACUACGGUAUUGUUCGUGAAGAUUACCUUAUGAUCAAGGGUGGUGUGAUGGGUCCCAAGAAGAGGGUUAUUACUCUGCGUCAGUCUUUGUACAAACAGGUGUCUCGUAGCGCCUUGGAGGAUAUCAAGCUCAAGUUCAUCGAUACCUCCUCCAAAUUCGGGCACGGACGUUUCCAAACAUCCCUUGAGAAGGCGAAGGUGUACGGUAAGGUUAAGGCAUCAGCAUAAGAGUGAUGAAGUUAUAGGGGUACAUUCUGUGCUGAUGAGGGUAGUGCCGUUGUAACUGUCAUAUCCUUUGUAGCCUUUUUGCCAUUGCUGAGGAGCAUGCAUCUUAUCUCUAAGUUGCUCCCCGAAGCUUUAAUACACAUCAAGUUAUGACCAUUUCACAUGUGGAUGUGUGCUAAUAAUUGCUUCCCAUCCUGGAGCUUUUACUGCUCAUGCGAUCUGACGAGUGACCAACAUGAAUUUCUCUGCAGUGCAUAGUCCGCUCCGCUUUUCGUUUUUGUCAGCGAACCUCUGCCAUGCUUGUCUGUCUCGAUUGAUCACUGGAGGGGUGAGUCCUCUGCUUUAAUUGAGGGCAAGAAUGUGUGGGUAUGACUCAAGUCGUGAUCGGGUUGUGUGUUAAAACGUUACCUGGGUUGUUAGAAAGUAAUUCUAUAAACCAUAUAUGUUUGCCCUGUUGUCUGUUAAUUAUGUCCGAGUCUGUGAAGGCAAAUUGCAUCCUUUUGCAGGAACAACAAAAGUCACUAGCAAUGAAAAAUAACCAAUAUGGGUUUGAGAAUGAGUACACUGAACAUGAAAUUGAUAGAGAUAUAAUGUGUUCAUUAUUCUGUUUCGUUAUGUUUCGUUAUGUUUUGUUUUGUAUUUUUUUUUUCCAACAUUCCUUAGCUAAUUUCUCUAGUACAGUAUAAUUCAACGUGAAAGUCUUCAUCACCCAAAUUAGCAAUUGAUUCAUCGGGGAUUCUGAGUUCAAUUACGUAAUAUAUAAAACUCUAGUUGCAAAACAUGCCACUUACUAAAUAUCCUGUCUCGAUUGUUUAUCAAUCUCUGUAUUGUUUUCAAUGUAACCAACUUAUUCACAGUAAAUUUAAGCAGUAAAUAAAUGUGACUUGUGAUUUACAUUAAAAACCUACAUCUUCACUUCUUCAAAUAUUAAGCAAUAUGUAAAUUUCAAUACAAUCCCACGAAAAAGAAGUACCGUCACUUCCUUAAUGGGACUUGACCUUCAACUGUUAUUUUCUAUAUAUAUAUAUUUUUACAAUAAUAUAAACUUCAUCUUCUCAUCUUUCUCAUCUUCUUUAAUAAAUAAGAUAGUGUCACGGCCACCAAUAUCAUUCAAGUAUACAAAAACAAAAAGAAAUAUCUUCAAUUGAUAAUAUCCUCGUUAAACAGUGUGGAUGCUUUUUAGACGAGUUAACUUUACCAAUGUCAAAAAAGUUUGAAUUGUAGGUAGUUAUUAAGCUAGACUAUUGUCCAAUGUCAUUUUACAGAGAUCAUAUAUUAUCUUUUAAAUUCUUUCUUUGCUUUUGAAUAUAGGUUUUCUUUUACCUUCAACUAAAAAAUAUUACAACUUAUAAAUAUUAUUGGCUAACCCUAGCAUUCUUUUAAAUAUGUUGGGUUUAUUUAAACUGAAUAAUUGACAAAUAUAUUGAUUGAGAGUAAUUUAGACUAACAUUGCAAAAUAGUGGAGGAAACAAUCUGUAUGAAAUGAAAUUAUACAAAACCAUUGAAUGGUGAGAUACAUGCAGUUUGACGAUUUUGUUGCCAAGCACCCUUUCAUCUAACUCAAUUUUGAUAUAGAGAAGAGAGAGAUAGCAUGUGCAUGAAACCAGGAGAGCUAAGUUCCCAUGAUGCCCCCGGUUGGCUAACAGUCUAAACACCGUCUCUCCGCCUACAUCUGCCCAGAAAACAUGGUUUGUUUCGCAGAAGAAUUUCCCCGAAGAGAGAGUUGUGUUCAUGUUUUGUACUCUGGAACCCAACUCUCCCCAUUGUAGCUCAUUGCCCCUGCAAAUCUACUCUUGUUGAUGUGCUACUGCUAAAGGGAGGUGUACUACGGUAUGAUCCCAUUGGUUACAGUGGACUUGUUAGUAAGUCAAAAGCUCCGGCUACGAAGGCUACUUAGCAUAUGUCUCUAUGUUUCUGUGCAAAUUCCGAAGGUGCAGUUUGCAUGCCGUGGCUGCAAGUGACACUGCUAGUACAUAUCCGCAAUUCCCCCUUCAUUGCAGCGUAGCUGUAUUACUGAAGAUAUUCAAAAUGAAAUAAGCGUGCGAGUUAAUUGCUCAUAAUCUCGAUGAAAGUUUCAUAUUGCAGCACUAGAGGUGACAUCACAUUUUGAAAGAAGCUUCUGGGAACUACACUGUGGUCCAGACCGCAAAUACAUGUGCUGACCUCCAGUGUCAUCGACUUCAUCCAACGUUUCAGAGAUAGACGAUCAACAGACAGAAUUCUCUUUUUGGAUUGUUGGCGAAUACAUUUCAUCGAGCAUCUUCACAAUCUUUGCAAAUGAAAGCUUUUGGAGAGGCUCUAUAAGCCGACAACAAUCUAUCAAUCUCAGUUAUUACCUUCACAAUAUCUGUAAAUGUCGGUCUUUGGGAAGGAUCUGCCGACCAACAUCGACUUAUCAAUUUGCUCAACUCAGGAUGUAUGUGAUCAGGUAAUUGGGGUCUCUCUCCAGCCAGGACGAACUCGGGGUUGGUCCGUGGACGGUCUUCAAAAGGGAUGCAUCCUGUUAAAAUCUCGUAACAAGUCAUUGCAUAACUAUAUACAUCCACUUGCUGAGUAAAAAUUUGUUGAUCAUGCAAGUUACCAUGGUCCUUCAAAACUUCCAAUAUCUCCGGUGCUCUCCAGUAUCCAGUCCCCACAACUCCAACAGAGCAUUCAAAAUCUGCUACUGCACACUGAAACCCAUCAUCGUGCCAAGGAUCGAAGGAAUAUGAAUCAUCUUCUGUAACGUUCACGAGCACAUUAGAUGCCUUGAGGUCUCUGUGAAGAAUUCCCUGGUCAUGCAACUCUUCCAUAGCAACAGCAAUCUGGUACAUAAUCAAGACGGCAGAAUCGUCUCGGAAAGGAGGGCCUUGAUUCAUGUUGUGCUGCAUUCUAAGAUCAAUUAGCGUCCGCAAAUCGCCCCAAUACCUGUGCAUUAAAAAUGCAAAUCUGCCAUCUUCCAACAAUGUGGCACCCCAUAUCAAACAACAGCUAUCGGUAUCUGAGGAAAACGGACAACCCUUGUCUAUCUUUCGAAGCAAUCCCUCAGGCCAUUGCUUUUUCAGAUGAACCAGGGAACCACUUCUCCUCAUUACCUUCGCCACAUACUUAAAUUCGCACACGUUCUGACGUGUGACUACAGCAGCUUCGAAGAUCUCUGCCUGGCCUCCCUCCGCAAUCUUCUCACCAAAAACUAAACUAUCGCCAUAAUCCCAAAAGAAUUCACCCCAUCUUUUCUUGAGGUACUCGAAGACGUGUCGAUUCGACACCUCACCUUCUACAUCUUCCUCCACCUCACUCCAGUGAUCUUUAGAUGCUUCAAUUUUAAAUUCCACCUCCUUGUGGAACUCAUUUCGACGAUGGAUCAUGCUCUGAAUGCGAGCAGAAUAAAACGGUAAGCUGAAGCCAUUCUGAGUCGAUGUUUGAUAGUGUGACACGGUGGUGGGCUCAAAUGCUCUUGCCAGAACACCAUAUACAUGUUCCUGUGCCAUCCCCGAACCAGGAACGCUACCUUCUUCUUUUUUUUUUUCCAACAAAGUAAUACCCUGAUCGUCCACCACUACGGACAUGUAUUACUGAAGCAGAAAAAAGCCAUUCUCAACUCUCCUUUCACAAAUAUGAGGAAACGCUGUCGACAAAUGCCGCGGUCGUACCUCCUGGCUCGUCAAGAAAAGCAACUACCACGAUAAAACCCUGACGCGUGCUUCGGAACAAGCAAUCAACGUAUAAUAUGCUCAUUACCUAAUUAUAAAUGGCAAUAUCGGUGGCAAAGAAGAUUAACAACCUAAGAUGCUGUUUAACAACCGUCGGUAAGAGAGGGCUGAAGAAUACACAACCUGCGGGGAUGGACGAAAAUUGGAACUUACAGUCAGCAUAGAUAUCGAGAAAUGGCGAGUUACCCACAGCAUAGAGUCGUCUGAUCGAAGAUGCGCAGACCUGCAACCGAAUAAACUUUCCUAACAUCAUGGCAAUAACAAUACUUGUGAUCGCCAACAACGAACCCUACAAUCACGAGUAGCGGUAAAACAACGAAUGUGCGUCAAUGGCAACCUAGUACAACACCAGUGGAGGAGGCAUGGCUCCGGACGUAGAGGUGUGGUGAUGGCACACCUGGACAUGUCGGAUCAGUGGAGAUCAAAUUCCUGAUUUAGAAAACACACGAUCCAGGUCAGCGCGGCAUACGGUGUGGAGGAAAGAAUGUGAAAAGCAAAUCCCCAUACAGAGCAUCUACUUUCACCCACUCCAGCCCCUGUGAACAUUGCUACCUGAGAGCCUGACCUCGUCCCGAACGUAAAAAAUAUGUAGCAGUGUGAUGAUAUUGCGAGAUUCUGCGUCGAAGUCAGAACAUUUGUGUGAUCAAAAACCAUGACAGUGUCGGAGCAUAGGUGGAUUGUUAGUGUAGUACAUGCAGAAGAAGGAGUAAGUGUGCGCUCCGCUUCGUCAGCAUUCCACCGUCUUAUCGUUUUUCCUCGGAACGCACUCAAGCUCCGGAUGCUGAGACCACAGCUUUGUCUAUUCCGAUGACGGCAGUCCACCGCACCCACAGUUCUUAAUUCUCAUCCACAAUGACUAAAGUCUAUCACCAUCGUACAAAGUUGUCAGUGGAAACAAUAAACAAUACCCACUCUGGCGUCAUUAUUAAUAGUAAAAGUCGUAGUGGGGGUCGUGGUAUUCAAACACUUAUAUCCCAUCUGCUUUUCUCUAUGAAAGUAAGUAGAUAGUUAGAUAUUCUUUGGGUGUAAAGUUUGAUAAUUGGAUAUUAUUUGCUUAGUAUGUCUUAAAAAAAUAAAUACAAUUCUGUUCUCUUUGUUUAUUGCCCAAUCGCCACUUACCAAGCUAUCGGAAUGAUGGAGCAUUUUCUGUACCUCGGCAUAUUAUAUCUAGUAUGUAUAUAAUCCAAUCGUUGUUCAAAAUAUACAUAUUAUCCAGUGUUCAUUUCAAGGGAUAUAUAAAAAUAUAAUCAAACUUUGUGUUUUGUUGAAAAAGGUAAUAAUGUUUGUAUUUGUAGUAACAACAGUUAAGUGCAUUUUACAUCAAUGUAAUGUCUAAAUAGGUUUAGUAAACCUAAAAUGAAAAUGUUCUAAACAAAUUAUGUAUAUAAAUUUUUAUUUUGAGAUCCAAAGAAUAUGAUUUGAUUAUUAUUAGGUUUAAAUUUUUUAAUGACACAAUUAUAUGUAUAUAUAUAUACACUAGUAAAAACUUAUGUCUUUGCUACAAAAAAGUUGUAAAAGUUUAAUAAUUAUUAUAUAAUAUAUAAUAUAUUAUAAAAAUUUGAUAUAUUAUUAUUAUUAUUAAUAUUUUAAUAUAAUAAUAAUAUUAAUAUUCAAUUAAUUUUAAAAAUGUGCUAUAAUAAUAGUUUUUGAAAUUUUUAAUAUGAAAUGUGAUAUGUAAUCAAAUAUGAAAUAUCUUCCAUAUUAAUAGAAUUUACAAGAUACACUACCUUCAAUACUCUCUCUUUGGAAGAGUGUGCAAACAUAAUUCUCCUACACUAUUUAAAAUUUAUUUGAAGUGGUGAUAUACUUCAAUGCCAUAUUUACGAAGUCACUCAAAAUCAUUGAAAAUUUCUUAAAUAAUAUUAUUUAGAUGUCAUUAUAACAUUGAUCCUUCAAAUAUGUGCUUCUUAAAAGAUUUGGACCUUAAACUUAAUAUCUUUAUCAUCUGCAUAGUACAUCAAUUCUUCCAUAAAACUUUAUAAACUUCAUCUUAGACCUUGUCUUUGAGGUUGAUAUGGUUUUUCAAUUGUAUACUACUUUUUUUCAUUACAUACUUUCUAUAGUUGCUCAUCACUAAAGCUUUGUGAUUAAGGCUAUCUAUUGUAGACUUAGAAUGGGGAGUUUGUAAAGAAGAAGAUUUAUAUUGAGCUCACCUUUUAGAGCAAGAAUUGCUUUCAAACUUUGUUGCUAUGUUCUUACUUCAAUCUUUCCACAAUGGGCACCAUUCGUCAAGGUGGUAAUAGAUAUGUUUUAAUAACUAUAUAAAUGGAACCAUGUGCAUAAUCAAUAGUACAGACUAUAAGAUUACUUGUAAAAACAUCCACAUUGUGAAUACACAUCAUUGCAAUUAUUGUCCAAUUUUUAUAAUACUUUUAGUGUAUUGCAACCAAAAUCACUCUCUAACUUUGGUAUCGAUAGCUUUUGCCUUGAAACCUUAUUGUUGAGAUCUUAAUUUGGAUAUUAUUAUCUUUUGAUAUUGCUAGGAUUCAUCUUUUUUUGAGUUGAAUUUUUUUCAUUUGUAAGUGCUUCAUUUAUCCCAAGAAAAUAGGUUCAUUGAUGUGACAAAAAUGAUGUGCCUUGAGUGCUAGACUUUGGCCAUCGCGUCAUGGUUGUGGACCCUAAGAUUCUUUAUACUAUACAAAAUCUAAUAUUACUUGUGCUUUUGUUGCUCAUGCAGCUUGUUCAUUCAAUAUCCUACAAGAUGUAUGACAUGUAAGAUUUCAUGAAUCUAAUCUAUGAAAUAAGAUGCCAAUCUUUCAUAAAUAUAUAUAUAUAUAUAUAUAUAUAUAUAUAUAUAUAUAUAUAUAUAUAUAUAUAUAUAUAUUCAAAUAAUUACCUAUAUGAUUAAAUAGAAGUAGAUAAAAAUAAGUAAAUUUUAUAAUAACUUUAAGAGAAGCUUUUUAGAAGCUUCAUAGAUACUAUUUUGACUUUACAUGUGUUUAUAAUUAAUUGAUAGGCUAGAAAUUUGGUCAACAAGUUAGCCAUGUGAUACAUGUAUAAGUUGCUUAUGGAAUAAGCUAACUAUGUGGCGGACAUAUAAAUAACUUGCUUUGCAAGUUAAGAUAUGUAUUUAGCAAUGUUAACACUUUUUAAAAGUUCUGUAGCAUAUUGCCACCUAGCUCCUAGUUAGAGAGUAUACAUGGAGGUAAGAGUGAAUCCUUUUUCACUCUUAUCAAGGCCUUUCUAAUCUUGAGUCUUAUUUCAAGACUUUCUACUCUUCUUAUCUUUGGUAAUAGCUAUUUUAAUUCAAUAUAUUUCUAUCUUUGAAUGACUUUUUAAUCUUUUCAAGUAACACAAGAGUGUAUUGAGAUUUCUUUCAUUGAAUUUCAUCUCUUUGAUAAUUUGACAAGAGUGCUAACUCAUUAUUUUUGUAUUUUUUAGAAAUAAGUGAAUUAUUCUAUUUCUAUUGUUUGUUUUAAAGGUUAUGGAUUAUCCACCUUUAAAUAAAUUUUUUAGUUUUUUAAUACUAUUUUUUAUUUAUUUAAGAGAGAAAAUUAUCCAUCUUUGUAGAAAUUUUUAUUUGAUAUUAGAAGUUACAAAUUAUUUUCUUCUAAUUUGACUUAUAAAUUUAGUAAGUUAUAUGAUAUAGAAGAAAAUAUUGUGGAUACUAUACUUGGCAAAAGUAAGAAUAGAUUUGUAAUUAUUGCAAAUCUUCAUAAACUUGUCAACACUCUUAGGAUGGAAAUUUAACUUUAUUACCAAUACAAACCAUGGAAUCACUAAUUUUAUACCUAUAAAAUAAGUUAUCUAUAUUAAAAAGUUGUACAGUUGAAGGAAGUAUAUAGAUCAACUUCACAACAAAAUUAUAGAAAUUAUGCUUCUACAAGUACAAUAAAGAUAAGAAUUAAUAUGCUUAAGAAGUUUGAUGGAAUAAGAUCAAAAUUUUAAAAAUUUCUACAAUAAGUCAAGCUCUAUCUAAAAUUGCAUUUCAUCCAAUGUUCUAAUGGAUUUAUUUAAGUUGGAUUCAUAGGUGCACUUCUAUCUGAAAAAAAAUUCUUUCUUGAUUUACACCUUUGAUGGAAAAGGAUUCACAAUUCUUUUAUGAUUUGAACUUAUUUCUAAAAAUAUUCUUGUAUAUAUUUAGAAAAAAAGAUCAAAAAAGAGUAAUAAAGAUUAAAUUCCUAUCUUUCUAACAAGAAUUACAAUCAUCCACCAUAUAUGUUGCUCUAUUCUAAAACCUCCUUUACAAAGUGGAUUGAAAUGACAAAGUCUUUAUCAAUCAAUUUUGAUAUAGAUUGAAGGAUAAUAUUAAAGAUUUCUUGUUAAUAAUAUCAAAAACAAAAACUGUGAAAUAAUUUAUUAUUUAAUCCAUUAUAUAGGAUAAUUAAUUAUUUGAAAGUCAUCAAAAACAAAGAUUUGGCUGAAGAUGAACAAGUUGAGUAAUAGUAGCUCCUAAGUUUUUCAAAAACUUAUUCAUCAAGACCGAAACCAAUACAAAUUAAUAUGAUACAUUUUAAAUCCCUCAUAAAGUAAGAAAAGACUUGAUAUCAUCAAGAAUAUUUGUACUACUAUUGAAAAAAAAAAAAUUAUAUUACUCAACAUUCUCUAAAGAAGCAAUGCAAUGACAAAAUGAGAAGCACAAUUGCCAAAAAAUGUAAUAUGUUGAAAAAUAAUUUUUUCUAAUUACAAUUAGGAUGGUGAGGUUGAAAUCAUGUAUUAUAUUUAAUAAAGAUUCUAUUCUCUUUUUACAUCUUUCACCUUGUUUAAUAAUAGAUAUAUGUUUAAGACCUAAAAAUCACAAAUUCUUUGCAUUAUUAGAUUCAAGAGCCUCAAUUUUUUUUCUAGACAAAGACUUUAUCAAAAAAUAAGAAAUAUCUUUAAUUAAAAAAGUUAAAUUUAUUCAUAUAAAAUUUAUAAAUGGUUGUUUGUUUUUUUAAAAAAUAUAACCUUCAAGUAGAUUGGAUUUUUUAUAAUCUUAAUUUUUUGGGUAGUUUAAUCCAAAAUCUUAUUAAUUAAAUAAAAAUAUAUAAGUCUAGUACAUCUAAAUCCUUACUAGUAAGUGCAAGAGCUUUCAUGCCUAUGGCAAAAAAAGGGUCAUCUUUUGCUAUAUAUGCCAUGCUCAUUUUUUAUGGUGAAAAGAUAUGAAGUGGUAUUCUUAGCUAGUAUCAAGAUUUCUGGGAUAUUUUUGAAAAACAAAAUAUAGAUAUUCUUUUAAAACAUUAAUCUUAUGAUUGUUCAAUUGAACUACAAGAACAAAAUCAACCACCAUUCAAACCAAUCUAUAACUUAUCAAAAAAUGAAUUGGAUAUAUUAAAAGAAUAUAUUGAUGAGAACUUGGCUAAAAAUUUUAUAUGCCAUUCAAAAUUUUCAGCAUGACUUCCUAUCUUAUUUGUGAAGAAAAAAGAUGGAUCUCAAUAGAUGUGUAUAGAUUAUCGAAGACUUAACAAGAUCACUAUUAAGAAUAUAUAUCUCCUACCUCUGAUUUCAAGACAUCUUCAUCAAUUCAAUCAAGCAAAGAUCUAUACAAAAAUAAAUCUAUGAGGAGCAUACAACUUGGUCUGCAUUAAAGAAGAGGAUGAAUAGAAGACUACUUUUUAAAUUAGUUAUGGACAUUUCAAAUAUAGUAUCAUGCCUUUUAGAUUCAUACAUACAUGAGCCACUUUUCAACAUCUUAUAAAUGACAUUUUUUGUGAGUUUUUAAUGAUUUUGACGUUUGUUAUUUAAACAACAUUUUAAUCUUUUCUUAGAACAAAAAAAAGCAUCAACUUUAUAUUUUUCAUAUGUUACAAAAACUUUUAGAUGCAAGAUUAUAUGCAAAGAUGGAAAAGUUUAUAUUUUAUAUUACUCAAGUUGAUUUCCUAGAGUACAUCAUUUCAAACAAAGAUCUAAUGAUGGAUUUGAAGAAAGUCUAGACUAUCAUAGAUUGGAUGAUUUUAAGAACAGUAAGAGAUGUGCAAUAUUUUUUAUACUUUGCUAAUAACUAUCAGAUCUCCAUUAAGAAUUUUUUUAAAGUUGUGGCACCUAUUAGAUAAGUGACUUGUAAAGAUAAACUUAAGUAGAGCAAAGAAGUUGAUUCAUCUUUUAAAGCCUUGAAGGAAAUAUUUAUUUUAGCACCAAUUUUGUAUUGUGUCAAUUUCUUUAAGGCAUUCUUCAUGGAAAUAGAUGCAUUAGACUUUGCUUUGGAUGUUGUAUUAUCAAAAAUAGAAGCACAUGACAAGCUCCACCUAAUAGCUUUCUAUUCCAAAGAAAUUUCAUAUGUAUAGAUUAAUUAUGAAAUCUACAAUAAAAAACUUCUUACAAUUAUAGAUUCUUUUGAAGAAUGACAUUACUAUUAAGAAUGCACUUUUAGUCUAAUCACUAUAUAUAUAUGAAUCACAAGAAUCAAAAAUAUUUUAUGUUAACAUAGAUAUUAAAAUAUUGCUAAGUUUGUUAAAAUAUGUUAUUCUCAAGAUUUAAUAUUAAGAUUACAUAUUGAUCUGAAAAAUAAUAAGAUUUCUCAAACACACUUUUUAAAUAUUCUUAUUUUGCACCAAAAGGAGGUGUAGCUUUUGAUCAACAAAAAAUGGUUCUUUUGAAGCUUGAAUAAUUUCAUCUUUGAGCAAUAAAAUCAAUAUUGACUAUUGAUUCAACUUUUAUCAAGAAAAUUCAAUCAAAUAUGUUCUUUGAUCCUAUUAUUCAUGAUUUCAAGAAUAUUUCUUCUAAAUCUCAUGAUACUUCAAAAUUUGAGUUCAAAAAUAAUUUAUUCUAUUACAAAGGUCGCCUAUAUGUUCCUGAAGGAGAAGCACAUUGUUGUAUUACGUAAAGCCUUGCUUGAGAAUGCACUAAGCGCCUAGCUACGGAAGAUAGAAGGAGUAUUGUAAUAAGAAGAUUUUAAUUUUAAUAAAAAUCUUAAAUAAUUCCAAUUAAAUCUUAACAAUGCUAAUCAAUAUUUAAUCAAAUCUAAAAAAAUCUCAAAAAAAUUGUAAAAGAAGCAUGAAAAAAUCUCAAAAAAAUUCAAAAAAAGUAUUAAAAUAAAACAUAAAAUAUAUCUUAAAUAAAUUCUAAUCAAAUCUCAAUUUAAUCUUAGUUGAAAUCCUAGUAGUCCUUACUUAAAAUCUAAGUCAAAUCCUAGCUAAAUCAUAGACAAAUUCUAAAUCUUAACUAAUUCCUAAAUCCUAAAUCAAAUCUUAAUCAAAUUAAUAUAAAUUUGAAGCAGUUUAGAACAUCAAUACCUAUCAAUUAUACCAUUGGUCUUGCUUAUGAUUUUAUACACCUUUCAACAACUAAGUUGGUAACAAACACACAAAAUUUAAAGAAGAUCAAACUUAUCAAAUAAAAGAUCAAAUCUAAAUUCUGCUUAUGUGUUGGAUAACCUCCUACUCCAAUCUGAAUAUUGAACUUCCAUUGCCAAUAUUUCUUUUGUAAAAUAUUGAAUUACCUCUCAAAUAUACUUAAACUAUGGAAAAUCAAGUCUACUCUCUAUAUAUGAUAAAUUCUCUUCAAUCUAAUCAAUAAAUUACUAAAGAUCUUAAAAAUACUCACUGGACUACAAAUUCUAAUUUUUGAGACAUUGACCUAGAAAAACCUUCACACACUUUGAUCUAACUCUUUGAUUGACUAUAAAACUUUCAUACAUACUAACAACUAAAAUAACAACACACUACCCAAUAUUCACUUAUACACACACACCACAAAACUUAAGAGACCUUCAAUUUUAUAACAUAAUUUUAUUUUUUUAAAUCUAAUCUAAUUCAGAAUAUCAUUAACUUUAAAAUUUUUCCAAAAACUAAAUAUUAAGUCAAUUGAUAUAAAACCAAUGUUAAAAAAUCUCUUUGCAAGUCUACUGUGAGUCAUCAAAUUGACUUAUUUUUUCUUUUAGGAUAAAAGUAUGCAUUUAGAAUGUUGUAAAUCACAAUACAUAGUGAGUAGUGUAGAAAUCCUUAGAGAAAUAGAAAAUUAGAAUGUUAGUGGUGGAAAUGGAGUCUUAAUAAGUCUUAGAGGUAAUUAUCUUUGUUGGUUUAGUAUUUUUAUUUAUUGUUGAAUAUUAAGGAUUAUUAUUAAGACCAAUAUUUAUAUUGGUCUUCUAUCUAUAUGUAUUACUUAUAAAAACUAUAAAUAUUAGUAGUUAGAAGAAGCAUGAAAAAGAAUCUCAUGUCAUUUUAGUUAUUGAUAUAAAAAAAUAGGAUUUUUAGUGGAUUUAAAUUAAUUUAUAUUAUUAUUAAAAAUAACCAAGAUAGAAAAAUGUAGCCUUAGAUGGAUAUUAGAAUUAUAGAAAUAUUAUAGAAUUUUUCAGAGUUUAUUUAGAAUUUAUUUAGAAUUUUUUAGGAAAUUUUAGAACAAUUUUUAAGAUCUUGGUAAAAAUGAGUUUUACCACUUUGAGAACCUUUAUGAAGAAACGGAGCAAGAUUUGAAGGCAACCGAAGGUGUCUAGGCUAAUUAGGUGCUUUUAAACACCAUGGUGUGGUUAAAAAUGCAAAAAUAUUGGUCCUUCUAGUAGAAAAUAGGAGGACCAGCAGCUAGUGUAGUCCUUAUAGGAUGGGGAGUACACAAGUCUUAUAUGGGUUGUAGCACCUUGAAGGUAGUUAGGAAGAUAAGACUAAGGUCUUGUGGCCUCUCUUAGAUACCCUUGUAUAUUACAUGUGGGCCUUGGUGAGGCUGGAAUCCUUGAUCUAUAAGCAAGUUAUCUUUGAGGUAAAAUAUUUUUACUUCACUUUUGAAUUAUUUACUUCAUAUCUUCAAAACUUCAUAACUUAUUUAUAGUAAUUUGGAUUUAUAUUUUUUUUAUUUCAUUGAAAAGAUGAUAAAAUUAUCUAUCUAAAAAUAUACUUUUUAUCUUUCACUUUUACUUUUUAUUAGAUAAAAAUAUAAUAAACAGAUUGUGACUUAGUUUUGGGUGUUGUAAUUACUUCAUGUCAUUUAUUUCAAUUACUUUGUGGUUGUUUUUCUUUUGUUCUUGUUAUUUUCUUACUUUAUUUUAUACCACCAAUUAUAAGUAAUUAUUAAUUGAGGCCACCUUGUAACUUGGAUUGAAAAGUAAAAAUUUACAUUCACAUCUACUCUCAAAUCUUCUCUCUCCAAUCUAUCUAAAGAACUCUAGAAUCACCAUAGUUAUGCGAUUUUGUGCCUUGGAAUUUGAUUUUGACCUAAGUUGACAACUAGUCUUCUCUAGGUUUCAAUAUUUGAGAAUUUGAGGUAGUUUUAACUUGAACAUAUUGCUAACUUUUUUCUAAACAUAUCUAUAUCUUUUACUUAUUCCAUUUACUUUGAUUUAAAGAAUUUAUGCCUUUACAAAGCAAAUAGAAGCCCCUUCUCUAAAAUGUAGUAUUAAGAUAUAACUUUUUAUUACCUUCCUAUUAUUUUUCCUUAUUUUUCUAUUAUAUCUUCCUAUUAGGCUCUUCUAUAUCAACAUCUAUAUUUUUUUUUCCACCAUAUAAUUAUGUUACUACACAACAAUGUUUACAUGUUCUUCAAGCACAUCAUGACUUUCAUUGACAAGAUAUUUUGGAUAUAAUAAGACAUUGGAGCUCAUAUUCAAAGUUUUUUGGUGGUUACAAAAGUAAAAGGUUGUGAAAAACUUUGUACAAUCAUAUGACAUGUGUUCAAAUUUAAAAACUCUUUAUCAUUGAUUCUAUAGACUUUUCCAAACAUUGCUUAUUUCGAAAAAACUAUGGAUUAUAAAAAGAUAUUAUAUUAAAUGGAAGGACGCAAUUUCUAUUAAGAUUUUGAAAAAUUAUUUUUAAGAUAUUAAAAGUAGAUAUAAAAUUAUUUUUGGUUUUUUUUUUAAAUUGAUAGAUAAAUAGAAAGAAUAAAUCAAGUUUUAGAAUAAUAUUUUAGGUUUAUCAUUAAUUAUCAUUAAAAUAAUUAAACAAUUCUUUUGCCAUUGAAAAAGUUUGUAUAAUAAUUUAAUAUAUUUUUUUAAUAAUUAUGAUUAUCAUCUAUAAUUUGAUAUUUUUGGCUUUUUAAAAGUUAAUAAUUCAAUAAUAAAAGAUUUGAAAAAUUAUUUGUCAAAGCUAUAUCCAACAAUGAAGAUGUAAUUAAAAGAAAAUCAAAAAUAAAAAAAAGAUCAACAUAGAUGCCUAUUGCAAGGAACAACCACAAUUCAAUAUGAGUAAUAAGAUAUAUUUACUUUGUUAUAACAUCAAGACUACUCAUCCUUGUAACAAGUUGGACUAUUUUUGGAUUAGACCUUUUUUUAUUUGUGAAUAAAUCAAUUUUAUUGCUUGUGAAUUACAUCUAUUAAAGUCUAUGAAGAUCCAUCUUGUAUUCCAUAUGUCUCUUCUUGAGCCAUAUAAGACAGUGAAUAUCUCAAGAAGAAGAUAAAUACCACUUCUUCAUAUAGAAGUGGAUAAUAAUCAAGAAUUUGAAGUAGAAGAAGUCUUAGAUUCAAGACAAUGCCAAAAUAGAUUGAAAUAAAUUGUUCAUUGGUAUGGCUGUGAUAUUUUUGAACAGACAUAGAAGCCAACAAAAAAACUUGUAAAUGUAGCAAAGAAGAUUGAAGCUUUUAAUUGAUGAUAUCCAUCAAAAAUCAAGAUAAAGAAUAAAAAAAAUUUAUUAUAAAAGAAACAAGACAUAAGAAAGAUAGCAUUUAAUUUUCUAUCUUUAUUUGUAGCUUUUAUAUAUUUGUAGCUUUAAAUAGAUGGAGAUCCAAUAACCAAUAGAUUCAACUUAAGAACUAUCAUUUAUUGAGUUAUUACACAAGACAUUGUGAUUGUCACAACUUUAAAGACAACAUGAUUAAAAUGAAGAUCCUCAAAAAUGACAUGUUCUUCUUAGACUAGAUGGUAAGAUACAAUGUAUUUGGUAUCAUGAUCUUCAAAGAGAUUUUUGAUAUUUGGUGAUUUUAUUAAAGGUUGAAAUAACUUCUAACAAUAUUUCAAAUAUUUUAUUUGAAGAGAGAUAUCAAGGCCUUAAUUAUGAUCAAAUAAUAUGAUGAUCUUUUUUCCUUAGUAUAAAUUAUUAUCAAUAGAUGAGAGGACCUAUCAACCAUCUUUGAAGAGAACAAAGAUCAAGAUAUGUAACAAACACAAUUCAUUGCAUCUUAGAUUUUGUUAGUGUAUGAUGAUUAUUCCUUGUAGAACUUGUCUCUAAAAAGGAAGAUUAUAUCAUAGAUAUAAGUAUUUAUUCCAAUAAAUACAUAUAUAAUUAAGCAAAAGUAAAUGAAAGUAAAUUAAUUUCAUAAUAUCUUCUAUAGAAGCUCAUUAGAAACUUUAUAGAUAUUACUUUGAUUUUAUACGUAUUUGUAGUUAAUUAAUAGAUUAAAAACUUAGUCAACAAGUUAAACACAUGAUACACAUAUAAGUAGCUUGAAGAAGAACCUAAUUAUGUGGCGCACAUAUAAAUAACUUAUCUUAUAAGUUCAAUCAUGUGUCUAGCAAAGUCAACAUGUGUCAAAGGUCCUAUAAAAUAUUGCCAUAUAGCUUCUAAUUAGAUAGUAUAUAUAGAGGCAAGAGUGAAGCCUUCUUCACUCAUGUCAAUGCCUUUUUAAUCUUUUGUCUUAUUUCAAGACUUUUUAGUCUUUUUUUCUUUGGUAAUAGCCAUUGUGAACUCUCAAUUAUGCUUUAAAAUUAUUUUUUUUGUUUUUUUUCUUAUUUUAUGGUAAUUGAACAAGUUAGAUUAUGAUUUAUAUAAGCAAAAUCUAAUUUUUUAGAGUUAUGAGGGUUGUAACCUUUGAUGGUAUAAAUCCUAGAUUAAUUCCUUGAAUUGAAUUAAUUAAGACCAAAGUGAUAAAAUUUAGAAAAUUAAAAUAGUAAUUUAGUUAGUUUUAAUAAUUAAAAGGUUUUUAGUCAUUGCUAUAAGAGUUGAUUGAUAGCCUAUGAAUUUACCUACAAUCAUCUCAUAUGAUUUAAAGGGAAUUAGAAUUAAUUUUUUUUAAAAGAUUUUAGUAAAGAUUAGCAAUGGUAGUUUUGAAGUAUUUUUUCACAUAUAAUAAAUCCAAGCAACAAAGGAACAUUUCUAAUUAAUGGAAGUCUUUUAAAUGCAAUGGCAACAUUGAAUUCAUUUCAUGGAGUGAAAAAAAUAAGAUCAGCUCCCUUCCUAUUAAAAUACAAGUAAAGCAAUAAAAAUGUUAUUUUUGAAGGAGUUUUCAAAAAUUGCUAAAAUCUUUGGAGGUAAAUAUUUUUAUAAAAAUCUCAUAUGAUCACAGAAAAGAACAUGUGAAUAGUCAAUCUUAGAAUAAAAAGGUGUUUUGAACAUAAUGGUGUAGUAAGAUUUAUCAAAAAUGUGUUUUUUUGAUCACUUACAGUAGUCAUCACUCUUGGUAACAAAAUUAGCCUUAGGAUGAAUGAAGGCUGUAGAUCUAGAUUAAGAAUCUUAAAGAUUAAGGGUAGAGAUGUAGUCGCCUUCCAUAAGCCUCUAUUCACUUAUAUAAGAGAGUUUGGUUGCCCAAGCACUCACUCUAACUUCUUUAGAUGAAGAGCAAAGUCAUGCUAAAAUUUGACUACAAAUCCUAACUCUAAUCUCAUGUUGGAUUUUAAGUCUAAUUAUGCUCUUUAUAAAUAUGUACUGUCAUUAAUUUGUAUUGUAGGAAAUUCUUAUUGUGGUUUAGAAGGCACUUAAAUAGAAUUAGUGGUGUUGUGUUGUAACACGUUGUAGCUACAAUUCUCAAUAGCGCUUCUCGAGGUAAUUUCUCUUCUUGCAUUGUAGAAACGGCAGAAGCCCAAAACUCACUAGUUUCCGUACUUCCACCAAUUUCAUCAUCUACUCUAGCACCAUAACUUGUACUUUCUCGUGCUACUGUUUCAUGCUCCUUUAAGUAAUCUUGAACCAAUGCUCUCAUUCCUCCCUUGCUAAAAUUGGUUUGAAGAAGAUCCUCCCUAUUUUUCAAUGCUAUCUUUCCAUCUUUCCAGCAAAUAAUUCCCUACCGUAUCAUAUUAUUAAAUUCAUUGCAAUCUUUUCUAGUGUGUGAAGCAUCAUCACACCAAAUGCAUCUUUGUACAUAUCCUUGUUUUGAAACAUUCUUCGAAUUAUUUGUAGAAGUAUUCUCUUCAAGUCUUGCCAAUUUGAUUUGAAGAUCUCGCAUUCCUCGUAUAAUUUCUUCCAUACCCAUAUCUGCUUUCUUUGACAAGAAUGUCGAAGGUUGAACUAUAGGCAUUGUUGGUGGUGUUGUACGUACUGGAGCUUUGGGUGCUUGUACUGUUUUCAGAAUAUUGCUCCUAUCCUUCCUCCUUUCUUUUUUUGUAAUCAACUCCACCGCGUCUUCAACGUUCUUCCACUUCGUUGUCAAUCCUUCAUCUUCUUCUUUGUCUUCAAGAAGGGAUUCUAAUUUCUCUUGCAAUUCUGCAUCAGCAGCUUGAAGAAAUAGAUCAACUUUGUUCGACUCCAAUGUCAAUUUUUCUACCUUCGAUAAUUGAGAGUACUGCCUCUCAAAUUCCCUUAGUAGCUCUGUUGCUUGCAAAUUCUUAUUGGGCCGUUCAAUCCAUCCCAGAAACAACUUCUUAGUAACGCGAUCAGCAUCUUCCAAGAAAUAUUCGUCUUUCAAUGCAUGUGAAAAAUCCUCCCAUGAAUUCCCAUAACGAUCCGUAAUCGAUGUAAUGUGGUCCCUUAUCUCCAGUAUCAUGGCAAGUCCAAAUAGUGCAACCAUUUUCUUCUCAGAAACCCGAUUUAAUUCCAUUUCACGAACAUAACAUCUUAAAUACCUUGAAAUAUUCCUCCCAUCAAAUUGAUCAAUUUUAUUGACCACUGCUUGCAAUGCUUUGGUUGCCAAAGCUUUCUUUCGAUCAUUGCUUUGCUGUUGCUGCAUUGACAAUGAGAAGGCUUGAAACAAACUAGCAAUAGAUGGAUCCAUGUGCAUACCUUGUCCUUUAGAAGACUCCCCACCAGAAACUCCUCCCAAAAAUCCUUCAAGAUUUUUAUUUUCGUUUUCCAUAAAAAUAAAGAUAAAAUCAACCGAAAUCCAAUACCUUCCACCUCAAGCUUUCAUGUCAGAUUCACCACUUUUUGUCGUAUUACGUGCUUUCCUGCUCGAGAACGCGCCGGGCAUCUGGCUGUAGAAGGUAGUAUGGAGAUUCGCCGAUAGUCAAGCAGUCUAUCAGUUUUGACUGCUGAAAUAUAAACGACUGCAACAAUGUACCGUAAAUCUAUACGGAUGCUCUUCGACUGCUUGUCGAAGUCCUUUUUAUCCCAGCCGGUAGGUCUCUAGACGUUACAGAGAACCCCGAACAAUCCAAACUGUUAAUCUUCAAUACCGCUUUGUACUUACGAUCUUGUAUCCACUGACUGUCUUGUUAGAUUAACCCUAUAAAUUUCAUUCACUCCGCAUACUCAAUCCUAUAGACACCCUUUUAAUCCUUCAAUCACAGACGUAACUCGAUUUCACAAAACAGUCAAGAGUAUUCAAACCCACUUCAUUAAAAAUCUCGAUUCACCAUUACAAUACUGACUUCAGUAGCGAUUGCCUCAGUCUUCUCCAAAACUCUACGAAGAAGAAAAAUCCAAAUUCUAUGUCUUUCCUUCCCCGACUCGAAGCAUGAAGCUCCUCUUCUCUAAUCCCCUUGAUCUUGAAAAACCUCUAAUGAAAACCGAACUAGUAACCUUACAAAAGCUUGAAACUAGCUCCCCCCGAUUCCCCGAAAAAAAAAAACCCCCUCUUCAAAACUAUAUCCCCCCUAACCUUAUCCUCUGAAUUUCUUCAAUCUUCCGUCUUAGAUCCAGAAUUGGCUCCCACCGUCAAGCUUGGAUCUGAAAUUGGCUCUCACCGUCAGAGCUUUCUCCUCCGUUUUUACCUUUAAGAAAUCCAUUUACCGAAAACAACGUUCCCUGAAACGGCAGAGAGAACAGGACAGCCUGAAACAGAAUCGAACCCUGUAAUCGGGACCACAUUGAGUCGCCCGACCAAUUCAGGUUCCAUAUUGGGAAAGAUGCCCGUAAUAACCUGGAUGUUCCCAUAAUUGGGUCUGCAUUGGGUUGCCCGGCCAAUUCAGGUCUCAUAUUGGGUAAGAGGACCCGGAUUGGAUUCUCAAAAUUGGAUCCAAUUGGCUCUUCGAACCCGUCGUGUGAAUUGAUCCUUCUCUUUCUGUUGACUCCCGUUAUUGGAAUUGAAUGGAGCAUUUCAGUAUGCCCCGAGUGACUGUAACGGGGUGACUGAACCUGGCCACUCAGUAUUUGUACAGGAGUUGGUCGAUGCUUCCAAUUUUUGAGGUAACUGAAUAUUAAUAAAAUUCCCCUUUCUUUUUAUUUUCACUGUAUACUCGUGUUAUAACACGACAACGAGAGAGUACAAGUUAUGGUGCUAGAGUAAAUGAUGACUUUGGUGGAAGUAUAGAAACUAGUGAAUUUUGGGCUUCUGCCAUUUUUACAAUACAAAAAGAAAAAAUGCCUCGAGAAGCGUUAUUGAGGACUGCAGCUAGACUACGAGGUGCAACAGGUUGGAAAGAUCUUGAUGAAUCUCUUUUAGUUCAUGCAAAUAUUGCUAAGAGCCAACAUAAAGCUUUGAUGGAAGAAAAGAGACGAGAAAAUUUUGAUGAUACAACAAAAAGAAAUUCUUCUAAGAAGCAAACUUGAGGAGAUAAGGCUCAUGAUGCGGCUUUAUAAGAAUUUCCUAUAAAAGAUACUUCAAUAUCAUUGGAAGAAAAACAAAAGGGACAAAAGAUAAGGAUAAAUCAAUUAUUUAUAAAUUACUUUCUAAUAUUGAAGCAGCAACAUAUUUAAAGGGGAUGUAAAAAGAACGUAUUUUAAAUGCUAAGGUAGAAUUCACAUUGAAAGAAAUUUGAAAAAUUGCAAAAAAAGAGUUUUAUGAUGUUAUCAUUGAUAAUAUUAAGCGAAAGCCAUAAUUAAUGGAUAAAGCUAGAAUGAAUCAUGCUAUUAAUAUAAGAUUAUAUAAAGAUGAAGAAAAGGUUGAUAAUGGUUACAAGCAUUCAACACAAAAAAAAAAUGGAUAUAAUAAAUGAGUACGUUUUGAAGAUUAUAGUGAUAAGAAAAUGGAAGCUUCAAGCCAUUAUACUCAGAAACAUUGGGCAACGGAAACUACUGAAGUAUUGGUGAAAGUAGAAGAUAUAGAAGAACCAAUUGUUGUUUUAGUUGACUAUGGUUCUAAAAUAAAUCUUAUGUCUAAAGAUCUUAAUAAGAAGCAGAAAUAGCCAAUUGAUAUGGAAUAUAGAUGGGCAAUAGGAGUAGCUAAUAAUACAAGAAGUGAUUUAUAUGGAGCUUGUCCAAAUAUCAAAAUUUGGAUUGGAGAUGGUGCGACAAAAUAAUAUUUCUUUAUUCAAGAUACAACAUCUUAUCCAUUGAAUUUAGGACAACCUUAUAUUACAAUAAUACAGAUGGAAACAAAAGUCUUUGACAAUGGUUCUACUUAUGCAGGGAUACGUAGUCAAGAUGGAAGGAAAGCUGUACAAUUUUUAAUAGUACCUCCUAAUCAUAGACGAAAUCGAGAUAGGUUGAGGGAGAAACCAUUGCCAAGGGUUGUUGAAGGAUUUAAGGAUUUUGGAGAAGUACCACUAUAAAGUGGGAUUAUGGAGGUACAAAAGAGGAGGUACUCUCACGAGAUGAAGGUGCCUUUGAUGCAAGUUUUAUUGAUAUUUUUGAGAAUGGAAAUAUUAUAUAUAAGAAAGUUGAUGAUUUUAAAAAAAAAGAAAGGAAAAGAUUAUAUAGUAUAGAAAAGGAAUUACUCAAGUUAGGAAUAUUAGAAGAUGAUGAGAAGAUUUUAGGUAUUUAUGAAGAAAAUAGAUUGGAGGAUUCGUUAGAAUUAAUUGCAUCUAUUGGAUUAGUGGAAUAUGAUAAGAUUGUAGAAAUUCAUUUGAGGGAGGUUUAUUCUAUUCUUGAAUCUUUUCAAGCACCAGAAGUUAUUGUAGAGACAAAAUAUAAAACAGUAGAUAAAAAGAUAAAAUCUGUUGCCGGACCUUUACUAAAAGAUUCUAAAGAAUAAAUAGAAGAAGCAUCAAAAGAAGAGAGUUUAAGAGAUUCAAUGAAGAUUGGACAUUAGUUUACAAAAGAGACUUUUAAAGAAUUGAAGAUUGGAUGUGAUGGUUCCUUAUUUCCAACAAAAAUUGAAUAUUAUAAAAAAAUACUUACAAAACAAGGUAAACCAUUUGCCUUUAUGUCUCGUGAAAUAAAAUAUGUAGAUCCUAAUGUUGUUGUUCCUAUGGUUAUUUUUACUACACCUCAUGUGCCUUCAAACUUAAGGCCAAUUCUUGUGCCGAGGGCACAUUUACUUAAAUUGGUGGAAUUAUUGAAAGAAAAGAUGUGAAUGAAAAUUUUAGAGCCUUCUUUUGCUCCGUAUUCUAGUCAUUGAUUAAUAGUGCCUAAAAAAAAUGGAUCGUUACAUUUUAUUCAAGAUAUGCAGCCAAUGAAUGCAAUAACUAUAAGAAAUGUAGGUAUAGGAUCUCUAGUAGACAAGUUUACAAAAGCGUUUGUGGGAAGGGUAAUUUAUUCAAUGGGUGAUUUAUAUUCGGGUUAUGAUCAAUUUCAACUUGCAUAUGGGAGUAGAAAUCUAACAACAAUGAGAAUGCCACUUGAAUUAUUUAAAAUGUGUACUCUCCCACAAGGUGCUACUAACUCAAUUGCACAUAUAAUAAAUGGGAUGAACAAGAUACUAAGAGACUUCAUUCUUCGAAAAACUAUAUCUUUUUGAGAUGAUGUUCCUAUCAAAGGAUGUAAAGAAGGAGAAAAAGAUGAAACUUUAGAUGAGAGGGGGUAUCUUGAAGAGGUUCAUCUUACACUUUCAAGAGCAAAAUCUACAUUUGGAGUGCAAGAAGUUCUUAUUGUUGGGCAUUUGUGUGGAUUUCAUAGAAGAAAACUAGAUCCAAGCAAAGUUGAUGCAAUUGGAAGGAUGAAGGAUUGAUAUGACUCUUUAACAGAAGUACGUAGGUUUUUAGGAGCUUGUGUAUUUUAUCAUAUAUGGAUUCUUCAUUAUGUUAAUAUAAUGGAUCUACUGUAUGAAUUAUUAUGCAAGGAUUAUCGAUUUAAAUGGAAAAGAAAGCAUACCAAAGCAAUGCAGAAGCUAAAGAUGUCAUUGGUCAUACCUCCAAUUUUAAGAAAAAUUGAUUAUGACUGUAAUAGACAAGUAAUUCUUACUAUGGAUACUAGUCCUAUUACUAUUGGAUGGAUUGUGGAUCAAAAUGAUUCAAGUGGAAAUAGAUUUGCAAUUCGAUUUGGAACUAAAUUUUUAAGUACUCAUAAACAUGUAUAUUCGUAAGUCAAAAGAGAACUCUGGGGAGUUGUUUCGGCUAUGAAAGCUGAAAGGGAUUAUUUGAUUGAUGUAGUAGUAGUCAUUGAAACACAUUACUUGCCAUUACUUGGAAUGAUUACUAAUUUCUCAAUGCCAGAUAUUACAACGUUAAUAUACAUUGCAUAUAUUUAAUCAUUAAAUCCAAAAUUUAAGCAUGUUAUUAGAAAGGAUAAUUUAAUAGCAAACAUGCUAUCUCGAGCAAGAUAUGAAAGAGAAGACAAAAUAGUUGAAGAUAUUGAUGAUGUUGGAUCAAAAUUCUAUUCAAUAUCAAAUCUUAACAAAGAAGACAAGCUAUUUCUUGAAGAAUUUUAUGAAGGAGAAUUAUUGGUUAUUGGUCAUUACUUGAAUACCUUGACUAAGCAAAAAAAUUAGUCUACAAAAAAAUUUAAAUAAAUAAGAAAAAUGGCAUAUGGAUUUUUGUUUCAAGAAGGAUUCUUAUAGAAGAGAUCAAAAAAAAGAAUUGAAAUGCCACAAAGAGUGAUAGGCAAUAAGGAAGAGAAACAAAAAUUAUUAAAGGGGUUUCAUGAUAGUUUAUAGGCAGGACAUAGAGGAAUUUGGGCUAUUUUUGCUAAGCUUAAGGAAUAAUAUUGGUGGAAAAAUAUGUAUCGAGAUGAACUCUUAUUUGUAGAGUCAUGUAAAAUUUUUCAAGCAUAUUCUAAUAUACGACAUCGAGAUGGUCUUCAUCCUACAUAUCCUCUAGCUAUUCAUUUUAAAUGAGUUGUUGAUUUAGUUAUUAUGCCAAUUGGAUUAUGGCAAAUGAGAUAUUUGGUCUUAGCUCAUGAAGAUUUAUCAAAUCAAGUAGAAGAAAGAGCAUUGAGAACAAAAUCUAUAGAAGGAAUUUGUAGAUUUUUGCUUGAAGAUGUUAUUUGCUGUUACAAAUGUGUAGGAAAAAUCACUGCAGAUCAUGGAGAAUUAAAUGCAUAAGAAGCUCGUGAAUUCUUUGAAAGAUGUGGAAUUAAACUAUCACUAACUACUGCUUAUAAUCCUGAAGGAAAUGCAAAAAGUGAACAUGGUCAUCCAUUGAUUAUGAAAAGAUUAAUUAAAGCUUGUAAUGGAAAGGUUAGAGAAUGGCCACGACUUUUGUCAUUUGCAUUAUGGAUUGAUCGAACAACUCAUAGCUCAGUAAUGGGAUAUAUGCCUAUUGAGCUUAUGACAAGUCAAAAACCAAUUAUGCCAAUUGAAAAAAAAGUACCUACUUGGAGUGUACUACCAUGGAAAGAUGUUUGGUCUAUGAUAGUAGCUUGAAUAAUUAACAUAAUACUUUAAGGAAGUUUUCUAAGCAAUGGUUUGGACUGUAUGUGGUAACAACUAUUCAUGAUAAUACAACUUAUUCAUUGCUGGAGUUAGAUGGAACAAGGUUAAAAAUACCAAUUGCAAGGAAGCGAGUAAAAAUAUUUAAACAAAGAUACACAAAGAUAAAUAUAGAAGACCUUGGUGAAGAUAUAGAUAUUCCUCAACAAGAAGAUGAAAUUGACUUGGAUAGAAAAAGUAAUGAAGAUGAUUUGGACAAAGACUUGGAGAACAUAUUAUGAAUCAAACAACAACUAGAUUAUUUGGUGCAUACCAGAGGAUGAACAAGUUCAGAGAGGGUGGAUGUUGUGUUGUAACACGACUAUAUGGUGAAGAUAUAAAUGAAAAAUAUUUUAUUAAUAUUUAGUCAUCUUGGAUGUUAGAAACACUGGCCAAUUCCGGUACUAAUAUUCAGGGGCCAAUUAAUGUCAUCCCAUUGCAAGCUAUACCACUGUACAUGACAUCAGCAAUAUGCUCCAUCGGUGUCAUCAAACCAAGUACCCUCCGUUGUCGCGUUGUAACACGUCUAUAUGAUGAAAAUAUAAAUGAAGAAGAUUUAUUAAUAUUUAGUCACCUUGGAUGUUAGAAGCGACGGCCAAGUCCAGUGCAAAUAUUGAGAGGCCAGGUUCAGUCACCCCGUUACAGUCAACCGGGGCAUACUCACCAAUAACAAAAUGUUCCGUUUGAUUCCAAUAACGGGAGUCAGCAGGAAGGGAAAGGACCAAUUCAAUGCCGGGUGAGCCUGGUUCGAAAAGCCAAUUGGAUCCAAUUUCAAGAUAUUUAAUCCAAGUCCUAUUAUGGGCCUCUUACCUAGUAUGAGACCUGACUUGGUCGGGCAAUCCAAUGCGGUCCAAUUACGGGGCUUCAAUUUUGUUUCAAGCUAUUCCGUUCUUUGUGCCGUUCGGGAACGUCUUUUUUAUAAAAAGAUCUCUUAAAUGUAAAAAUGGGGGAGAAAUAGCGAGGUCGGCUGUUCUAAUUUGGAAAAUCCAAGGCAAAAGACUAGGAUCUUCUCAGGUUAAAGGGAAGGGUAGGUUAAGAAAUGGAUUUUUUGAGAAUCGGGGUUUUAGAUCGGAGAGCUAGCUUCAUGCCUUCGAAAAAAAAUGGAGAAUUGGAGUUUUUUUAUAUAGGGUUUUGGAAAGACUGAGAGGAUGGUUAGUGAAACUCAGUGUUAUAUUGGUGAACUGGAUUUUUCCGAAAGAGAGAAAAAGCUGGUACUCUUGAUUGUUGAUGGAAUGGGAGAUACUUCUGUGGUUGAAAUUCAGAGUUGUUUAGAAGGUUGAGUAUGCUGAAUCCAUACGUGGUUGUGUUAAUCUAACUGUACGGAUAGAGGAUAUCUGCCAAUAGUUUAAAGAGGUAUUGGUAGUUAGUAAAUUGGGGAUUGUUUAGGAUUUCUGUGAUAACUGGGGACCUACCGAUAGGGAUAAGAGGAAUAGGGACGAGCGGCCAAGGGAUAUUGGUGCGAAUUGCAGCAUAGCCUCACAAUCUGUAAGUGGGGUUGAACUGGACCUUCUCGAGCAUUCGAAAGGGCUUGCAGAGAUAUUAGCGAUAGAUGUUUCACAACAAGUCGGAAGAACAGAUUGAGGAUCACAGCUUGCCGAAGUUCACGGUCUAGGAUUAAGGUAAUUAACGAUAAAGAUAAAAUAAAAAACAUAAAAUAAAUAAAAUAAAAUAAAAAUAACAAAAGAGAUUGAAGUUAUAUAGGAUCUCUAGACGUUUUAUAUUGGAAUUAAGUUUUUACAUUGUAAUCCGAUAUAGAUUGUAUUUGGAUAGUCAAGAACCCGAUAGACUGCUUGAGUACUAGCGAAACACCAUACUACCUCCUACAGCCAGACGCGUGACGCGUUCUCAAGUAAGAUAGCACGUAAUACGACAUAAGUGGUGAACCCGACAUGAAAGCUUGAGGUGGAAGGUAUUGGAUUUUGUUUGAUUUUAUUUCUAUUUUUAUAGAGAAUAAAAAUAAAAAAUUUGAAGGAUCUUUCGGAGGAGUUUCUGGUUGAGGUUCUUCUAAAGGACAAGAUAUGGAUAUGGAUCCAUCUAUUGCUAGUAUGUUUCAAGCCUCCUCAUUAUCAAUGCAGCAACAGCAAGGUAAUAAUUAAAAGGAAGCUUUGGCAACCAAAGCAUUGCAAGGAGUGGUCAAUAAAAUUGAUCAAUUUGAUGGAAGGAAUAUUUCAAGGUAUUUAAGAUAUUAUGUUCAUGAAAUAGAAUUAAAUCGGGUUUCUGAGAAGAAAAUGGUUGAAUUAUUUGGACUUGCCAUGAUACCGGAGAUAAGAGACCAUAUUACAUCGAUUACGGAUCGUUAUGGGAAUUCAUGGGAGGUUUUUUUACAUCCAUUGAAAGACGAAUAUUUCUUAAAAGAUGCUGAUUGCGUUACUAAGAAGUUGUUUCUGGAAUAGAUUGAAUGACCUAAUAAGAAUUCGCACGCAAUAGAGCUACUAAGAGAAUUUGAAAGGCAGUACUCUCAAUUAUCGAAGGUAGAAAAAUUGACAUUGGAGCCGAAGAAAGUUGAUCUAUUUUUUCAAGCUGCUGAUGAAGAAUUGCAAGUAAAAUUAGAACUCCUUCUUGAAGACAAAGAAGAAGAUGAAGGAUUGACAAAAAAGUAGAAGAACAUUGAAGAUGCGAUGGGGUUGCUUACAAAAAGAGAAAAGAGGAAGGAUAGGAGCAAUAUUUUGAAAACAGUACAGACACCCAAAGCUCCAGUACGUACAACACCACCAACAAUGCCUACAGUUCAACCUUCGACAUCCUUAUCAAAGAAAGCAGAUAUGAAGAUGGAAGAAAUUAUACAAGGAAUGUGAGAUCUUCAAAUCAGAUUGGCAAGACUUGAAGAGAAUACUUCUACAAAUAAUUCGAAGAAUGUUUCAAAACAAAGAUAUGUACAAAGAUGCAUUUGGUGUGAUGAUGCUUCACACACUAGGAAAGAUUACAAUGAAUUUAAUAAUAUGAUAUGGCAAGGAAUUAUUUGCUGAAAAGAUGGAAAGAUAGCAUUAAAAGAUAGGGAGGAUCUUCUUCAAACCAAUUUUGGCAAGAGAAGAAUGAGAGCAUUGGUUCAAGAUUACUUAAAAGAGCAUGAAACAACACCACAAGAAAGUGCAAGUUAUGGUGCUAGAGUAGAUGAUGACCUUGGUAGAAGUAUGGAAACUAGUGAGUUUUGGGCUUCUGCCAUUUCUACAAUGCAAGAAGGAAAAUUACCUCGAGAAGCAUUAUUGAGGACUGCAGCUACUAUACGAGGUACAACAGGUUAGGAGGAUCCUGUUGAGUCUCUUUCAGUUCAUGCAUAUAUUGUUAAGAGCCAACAUAAUGCUUUGAUGAAAGAAAAGAGACGAGGAAAUUUUGAUGAUAUGAGAGAAGUGAAUUCUUCUAAGAGGCAAACUCGAGGAGACAAAGCUUGGGAGGUAGCUUCAUAAGAAUUGCUUGUAAAGGAUACCUCAGCAUCAUUGGGAGAAAAAACAAUGGAGACAAAAGAUAAGGGCAAAUCAAUUGCUUAUAAGCUACUUUCUGACAUUGAAGUGGCAACAAAUUUAAAAGGGGUGUUGAAAGAACGUAUAUUAAAUGCUAAGGUAGAAUUCACAUUGAAAGAAGUUUUAGAAAUUGCAAAGAAGGAAUUUCAUGAUGUUAUCAUUGACAGCAUUAAGCGAAAGAGACAAUUAAUGGGCAAAACUGGAAUGAGUCAUGCCAUUGAAACAUGAAUAUAUAAAGAUGAAGAAGAGGUUGAUAUUUGUUGGUUACAAGCAACCAACAAAUGAAAAAAAUGGAUAUAAUCAACGAGUACAUUUCAAAGAUUAUAGUGAUAAGGAAAUAAAAACUUUGAGCCAUUAUACUCGAAAGCAUUGGGCAAAGGCAAGCACUGAGGUAUUGGUGAAAGUAGGAGAUAUAGAAGAACCAAUUGUUGCUUUAGUCGACCAUGGUUCUGAAAUAAAUCUUAUAUCUAAAGAUCUUUAUAAGAAGCAAAAAUGGCCAAUUGAUAUGGAACAUGGAUGGGCAAUACGAGCAGCUAAUAACACACGGGGCGAAUGAUAUGGAACUUGUUCAGAUGUCAAAAUUUGGAUUGGAGAUGUUGUGACAGAGCAACAUUUUUUUGUUCAAGAUAUAACAUCUUAUCCGUUGAUUUUAAGACAACCUUAUAUUAUGGCAACACGGAUGGAAACAAAAAUACUUGACGAUGGUUCUGCUUAUGCAAGAGUAUGUAGUGAAGAUGGGAGGAAAGCUGUACAAUUUCUAAUAGUACCUCCUAACCAUGAACAGAAUCGAGAUAGGUUGAUGGAGAAACCAUUGCCAAAGAUUGUUGAAGGAUUUAAGGAUUUUGGAGAGGUACCACUAUGAAGCGAGAUUAUGGAGGUACAAAAGAGGAGGUACUCUCGCGAGAUGAAGGUAUCUUUGAUGCGAGUUUUAUUGGUAUUUUGGAGAAUGGAAAUAUUAUGUAUAAGAAAGUUGAUGAUUUUAAAAGAAAAGAAAGAAAAAGAUUAUAUAAUAUUGAAGGAUAAUUACGCAAGUUAGGUGCAUUGUAAGAUGAUGAGAGGAUUUUAGGUAUUUAUGAAGAAAAUGGACUGGAAGAUUCAUUGGAAUUGAUUACAUCUAUUGGGUUAGGAGAUAAUGAUAAGAUUGUUGAGAUUCAUUCAAGAGAGGUUUAUACCAUACUUGAAUCUUUUCAAGCACCAGAAGUCACUGUAGAGUAGAGAUAUAAAACGACAAAUAAGAAGAUAAAGCCUGUUGUCGGACCAUUACUAGAAGAUUCUAAGGAACAAAUAGGAGAAGCAUCAAAAGAAGCAAGUUUAAGAGAUCCAAUGAGUAUUGGACAUCAGUUUACUAAAGAGACUUUUGAAGAAUUGAAGAUUGGUUCUUAUGGUUCUUUAUUGCCGAAGAAAAUUACUUGCUUCAAAAAGAUGUUGGCUAAACAAGGUAGAUUGUUUGCCUUCGAAUCUUAUGAAAUUGGGUGUAUGGAUUCGAAUAUUAUAACACCUAUGGUUAUCUUCACUAUACUGCAUGUACCUUGGAAUCUAAGACCGAUUUCAGUACCGAGGGCACAUUUACCUAAAUUGGUGGAAUUAUUAAAAGAAAAGAUGAAGAUAAAAAUAUUGGAACCCUCAUUUGUGCCUUAUUCUAGUCCAUGGUUUACGGUACCUAAGAAGAAUGGGUCACUAUGUUUUAUUCAAGAUAUGCAACCGAUGAAUGCAGUAACUGUCAAAAAUACAAGAAUUGGACCUAUUUUGGAUGAAUUUGCUAAGGCGUUUGCACGAAGAGCGAUCUAUUCAAUGGGUGACUUGUAUUUAGGUUAUGAUCAAUUUCAACUUGGGGAAGGAAGUAGAGAUAUGACAACGAUGAGGACACCACUUGGAUUGGUUAGAAUGUGCACUGUUUUUCAAGGCGCAACCAACUCAAUUGCGCAUAUGAUGGAUGGGAUGAAUAAGGUAUUGAGAGAUUAUACUCCGGAGAAGACUAUGCCUUUUUUGGGUGAUGUUCCUAUAAAAGGGUGCAGAGAAGGAGACAAGGAUGAAACUUUAGAUAAGAAGGGGUGACGGAAAUAUGUUGUUGAUCAUAUACAAGAUUGUGAAAAGAUUUUAACUCAACUUGGAGAAGUUCAUCUUACAUUAUUGGAUAUGAAGUCCAUAUUUGGAGUAGGAGAGGUUGUGAUUUUUGGACAUUUAUGUGGAUUUUACGGAAGAAAACUAGAUCCAACUAAAGUUGAUGCAAUUGGAAGGAUGAAAGAGGAUUGUGAUUCUUGAACAGAGGUUCGCAGGUUUUUAGGUGCAUGUAUAUUUUAUCGAAUCUGGAUCCCUCAUUAUGCUUACAUAGUGGAUCCAUUAUAUGAACUCUUAUGGCAAAUGAGAUAUUUGGUCUUAGCUCCUGAAGAUUUAUAAAAUUAAGUAGAAGAAAGAGCAUUGAGGACAAAAUCUAUAGAGGGGAUUUAUAGAUUUUUGCUUGAAGAUGUUAUUUGCCGCUACGGAUGCGUAGGAAAAAUCAAUGCAGAUCGUGGAGAAUUAAAUACACAAGAAGCUCGUAAGUUCUUUGAAAGAUGUAGAGUUAAACUAUCACUGACUACUACUUAUAAUCCGGAAGGGAAUGCAAAAAGCGAACGUUGUCACCCACCGAUUGUGAAAGCAUUAGUUAAAGCUUGUAAUGGGAAAGUUAGAGAGUGGCCACGGCUUUUAUCAUUUGCAUUAUGGGCUAAUCGAAUAACACAUAGUUUGAUGACAGGAUAUAUACUAGUAGAACUUAUAACAAGUCGAAAACCAAUUAUGCCGAUUGAAGAAAGGGUACUUACUUGGAGUAUGCUACCAUGGGAAGAUGGAUUGACAAGAGAAGAACUUCUGGCUAUUAGGAUUCAAUAAUUGGAGCAAUGAUCAGAAGAUGUGCAAAUAGCAUUAGAAAGGUUAAAAAGAACAAGGUUAGAAAAUAAGGCGCAAUUUGAUAAGCAACAUCAAAAGCUUUUGGAAUUAACCUUUUACAUUGCAAUCUGAUAUAGAUUGUAUUUAGGUAGUCAAGAACCUGAUAAACUACUUGAGUACUAGCGAAACACCAUACUACCUCCUUCAACCAAACGCUCAGCACGUUUUCAAGCAAGAUAGCACGUAAUAUGACACCAUACCAAUAGGACAAUCAGGAUCAUUUUCUAAUCCUUCAUGGAAUUAGUCUAUUAGAUAUAUACCGAUGGAGACAUCCAAUAUGCUUGAUGGGAGUACAAGAAAACUACUUCAUUGUUUUCAUUGCAGAUAGAUUGAUCAUUAUGCUUGUGAAUAUCAUAACCCCAAAGCUAGUGAUGAUUACACGUCAGUAUGUGAGAAUUACAAGCAGUCAAGACAUACUUAUCAACAAUGUAAUGCUCCGUUCAAUUUCAAUAAUCGAGAUCAGUAGAUCCAAAGCCAAGGAAAAAUUGAGGAGAUAAAUUGAGGUUCUCAAGAUACUCCAGUAAGUCGGGUGGAAUGUAUCCAAGCUUUUCUUACUAGGAGUCGGCAAAAGAAAAAAGGACCAAUUCAACAUUUACAUGAGCUUAAUGCGAGGGACCAAUUUGACCCAAUUAUGGAGACAUCCGAUCCAAGUCCUGUUACGGACUUCUUGUCCAGUAUGAGACCUUACUAGGUUGGGCAAUCCAAUGAGGUCUCGAUUUUAGAGGCUUUGGUUCUAUUUCGAGCUGUUCCAUUUUCUAUGCCGUUUCGAGGAACACCUUUCAUUGGCGGAGUAGAGAGAGUUUACCUCAAGAAAAUGUUGGGCUUCUGGUUGUCACUAAUUAUUCAAUCAAGCUUGAAAAUAAGAGAAGCCUUAAGUUUAUAUAUAAUUUUUUCUUUUUUUGAGUAAUUACACUAAAUACACAAUCCUCAAGUAAUCCACAACUUCCAAAAUAUGAUAAAAACUUCUAAUACCUUGUUUAUUCUUAUGUAGAGAUUUUUCCAAACUUCAACACCUCAUAUCUCCUAAUCCGAUCGUCCAAACAAACUCAAAUUUUACAUGAGGUACUGAUGUAUUCUUAUUAACUUUUACAACAAUUUUCAUUUGCAAAUUCAUUGCAGAUCUUGAGAUAUCUUGAAAAUCCUAACAAUCGCUUUAAACCUUUGUCUUUAUAUAUCUACAUGCAAUUUUCUUCAUAUCUGACAAAAUAUAAGCUUAAAUGCCACGAAAUUUAUAUGUAUAGCUUCUUAACACAAAAUUUUACAUUCUCCAAAAAGUUCAAGCCAAAAAUUCAUCCAAAAACUCAAGUUAUGGCUCCAACCAUUACUACAAACAAAACCAAUUACUUACUGCUUUUGAUUUGGAAGUGCCACCUUCAACUCCUUAUAAUUCCUUCAUAUGAACUCCAAAAGCAAUAAUUCUAUCAUGAAAGAUGUAGGGCUUGAAAUCGCUAUUUCAAUUGCAUGUUUCGAUCUUCAAAAGCUAUUGUAAAACUCCUUGUAUCCUCAAAACAGUAAUAGUAUAUCUUAAAUUCAUACCUUAACUUCAAACGGCUAUAACUUCUUCAUCCUAACUCCAAAUCUUCAAAUUUUUGUACAAAAAUUGUACCCCAAAUCCUAAACUUUACAACCUUGACUUGUAAUCUCCGAAUCUUUGCUUUGAAGUCGUCGAAACCCUUCUUAAGGUCGCGAGUAGCCUCCUCAAAGCCAUUGGGCAUGGUAUUCGACCAAUAGGGAUGAAGUUCUCCAUUCUUUGCUUUCAUCCAUUUCAAUUAGCCUCCUACUAGUUUAAAUUUCCAUCCUCAGGUUUCCACCUUCUUCCAAGGCUUCAUACUAAAUAUUUAGGUCCUAUAUAUAUAUAUAUUUUAAUAUCAAAAUCAAAAGAAGUAAAGUUUUUUAUAUCAAUUCCUUUUAAUUUAAUCUACUAGCCACUCUAACAUACAUCUAGAUUUAUCAACAUAUAAUAUGUUUUAACUAAUUUUUACAUACUGUAAGCAUUUACAGUACGACGUCUACCUCUUCCAAACCUAUACAUCCUCCGGCAUGUACCAAUCUGACAAUCUCUGUUUGCUUCAUUAUUCCCAUUUCUUUUCCAUCUUCCACUUAAUCUAAAUCCAAUGUUUUAAAAUUUGGAAGAUUACUUGAAAUAAAUCUACCAUUUCUUCUCUUAAAUGCCUUGAUCCACUUUCCAACUAUUAAUCUUCAACAUUGUACCAUCUAACUCUCAAAAUAUAUGUGUUUCAUUGUGUAGUAUUGUUGCAACUAUAUAUAACUCAAAUUGUCUUUAAGUAAAUUUCUUCUAUGUAUUAUAUUGGUAUUCUUAAGUACCAUUAAAAAACUCUAUUCACAUAUCUUCUAUAUUAUUUGAAACUCUCAAUAUCCAUUUUUGGCUGAUAUCAAUAAACCAUUUUUUCCUAUCAAAAUGUCUCCUAGACAUGAUUUUUUUCUUAAAGUUAUAAAUAAUCAAAGCUAAAAUCAUAUCUUUAAGGUCUUUAAGCUUUACUUUUGUCCAAAAUAAAUGAGAAUAAUCCACCUUUCUUUGUUUACCACACUCAAAGUUAUAGUUAAGAGUAUAAAUAAAUACCUUUGUAUCCUUGUGAACCAUCUUUUCAUUUGAUAUUUCUUCAACUAUGCAUUCUUGAAUUUGGAUGGUCUCGGCUCCUUUUGUUUAGCCUUGCUCUCUUCAAUAUUCAAAUUCACCUUGAUUUUGGAUACAUAAUAUAUCCAUAAUAACCCUUGUAUUAUUCAUAUUGAGCUAAGGUCUCGAGAUUUAGGGUUUUGAGGACCAGUAAGAUUUUCUUAGAUAUCUAAGAAUCUGCUAGUUGGAUUGAGAGAUUUUUAGUUUUAUCAGUAUAAGACUUGAUUUUCUAUAUGCAAGCAAAAUUUCGAAGCAAUCGGAUGGUGGAAAAAAGAGAUAUCAGUGCUAGAAGUUUGAUAUUAGAUUAGAGAAGGAGAGGCCAGUCGACAUUUGAGUAGAACUUUGAGGUCAUCAACUAAUUGGACUUUUUGUUGGAAUUUUCUUUUACCUUCCAUAGUUAGGUGCUUGGUGCAUUCUCAAGUAAGACUUCAUGUAAUAUGACAUUAGUGGUGAAUCCGACAUGAAAGCUUGAGGUAGGAAGUAUUAGAAUUUGUUUACAUUCAUUCUUAUUUUUAUAGAGAACAAGAUUAAAAUUUUGAGGGAGUUUCUAGUGGAGUUUUUUCUAAAGGACAAGGUGUAUGCAUGAAUCCAUCGAUUGCUAGUAUGUUUCAAGCUUUAUCAUUAUCUAUGCAGCAACAGCAAAGCAAUAAUCACAAAAAAGCUUUAGCAACCAAAGCAUUGCAAGUAGUGGUCAAUAAAAUUGAUCAAUUUGAUAGAAGAGAUAUUUUAAGAUAUUUAAGAUGUUACUUUCGAGAAAUGGAAUAAAAUCGGGUUUCUGAGAAGAAGAUGGUUGAAUUAUUUGGACUUCCAUGAUGUCGUAUUAUAAAUGCUUACAAUAUAUAAAAAUUGAUUAAAACAUAUUAUAUGUUGAUAAAUCUAGAUGUAUAUUAGAAUGGCUAGUAGAUUAAAUUAAAAGGAGUUGGUAUAAGAAACUUUAUUUUAUUUCUUUACUUCUUUUGAUUUUAAAAUUAAUAUAUAUAUAUAUAUAUAUAUAUAUAUAUAUAGGACCUACAUGUUUAGUAUGAAGCCUUGAGAGAAGGUAGAAACCUCAGGAUCAAAAUAUAAACUAGUAGGAGGCUAAUUAAAAUCGAUGAAAGUAAGGCAUGGUUGGAUGAAGGCAAGGAAUGAGGAACUUCAUCCCUAUUGGUCGAACACCAUGUCCAAUGGACUUUGAAGAGGCUGCCCACGAACUUAAGAAGGAUUUCGGUGACUACAAAGAAGGCAUUUGGAGAUUAUAAGCUAAGAUUGUAAAGUUAAGGAUUUGGAGUACAAUUUGUGUGCAAAAAUUAGAAGAUUUGGAGUUAGGAUGAAGAAGUUAUAGCCGUUUGAAGUUAAGGUGUUUAUUUAAGACAUACUGUUACUCUUUUAAGAGUUCGAAGAGUUUUACAGCAGCUUUUGAAGAUCGGAAUAUGCAACUGGAACAACGAUUUCAAGGCCUACAUCUUUCAUGAAAGAAUUAUUGCUUUUGGAGUUCAUAUGAAGGAGUUGUAAGGAGUUGAAGGCAAUGCAUCCAAAUCAAAGGCGUGAAGUAAGCGGUUUUGUUUGUAAUAAUGGUUGGAGCCAUAACUUGAGUAUUCGAAUGUAUUUUUAGUCCAAACUUUUGGAAAAUGUAAAUUUCUGUGUUAAAAAGCUAUACAUACAAAUUUCGUGGUAUUUGAAUUUAUAUUUUGUGAAAUAUGAAGAAAAUUGCAUGCCGAUGUAUAAAGAUAAGGGUUUGAAGCGACUAUUAGGGUUUUCAAGACAUUUCAAGAUCUGCAUGAAUUUGUAGUUAGAAUUUAUUGUAGAAGUUAAUAAAAAUAUAUCAGUACUUCAUGUAAAAUUUGAGUUUGUUUGGACGAUCGGAUUAGGAGAUAUGAGGUGUUGAAGUUUGGAAAAAACUCCACAUAAGAAUAAACAAGGUUUUAGAAGAUUUUAUCAUAUUUUGGAAGUUGUGGAUUACUUGAAGAUUGUGUAUUUGGUGUAAUUAUUCAAAAGAUAAAAAUUAUAUAUAAACUUAGGGCUUCCCUUAUUUUCAAGCUUGAUUGAAUAAUUAGUGAUAGCCAGAAGUCCAACAUUUUUUUAAGGCAAACUUUUUCUAUCCCGACAACGAUAAUAGAGAUAAGAGAAAAUAUUACAUCGAUUAUAGAUCAUUAUAGAAAUUCAUGGAUGAUUUUUUUGCAUGCAUUAAAAGAUAAAUAUUUCUUGGAGGAUAUUGAUCGUGUUACUAAGAAACUAUUUCUAGAAUGGAUUCAGCGGCCUAAUAAGAAUUUGCAAGCAAAUGAGCUACUAAGGGAGUUUGAGAGGUAGUACUCUCAAUUAUCAAAGGUAGAAAAGUUGACAUUAGAACCAAACAAGGUUGAAUUAUUUCUCCAAGCUGCUGAUGGAGAAUUACAAGGAAAAUUGGAGUUGCUUCUUGAAGACAUAGAAGAAGAUGAAGGAUUGACAACAAAGUGGAAAAAUGUUGAAAGUUCGGUAGGUUUGCUUACAAAAAGAGGAAGAAGAAAGGAUAGGAGUAAUAUUCCAAAAGUAAUACAAGCACCUAAAAUUCCACUACAUACAAUACGACCAGUAAUACCUGCUAUUCAACCUUCAACAUCUUUACCAAAGAAAGGAGAUAUGGAGAUGGAAGAAAUUAUAUGAGGAAUACGAGAUCUUCAAAUCAAAUUGCUAAGACUUGAAGAAAAUACUUCUACAAAUAAUUUGAAGAAUGUUUCAAAAUAAAGGUAUGUACAAAGAUGUAUUUGGUGUGAUGAUGCUUCGCAUACUAGGAAGAAUUGCGACGAAUUUAAUAACAUGAUACGACAAGAAGUUAUUUGUUGGAAAGAUGAAAAGAUAGUAUUAAAGGAUAUGGAGGUUCUCAUUCAAACUAAUUUUGGAAAAGGAGGUAUGAGAGCAUUGAUUCAAGAUUACUUAAAAGCUUAUGAAACAGCACGUGACAGUGUAAGUUAUGGUGCCAAAGUAGAUGAUGACUUUGGUAGAAAUAUUGAAACUAGUGGAUUUUGGGCUUUUGCCAUUUUUACUAUGCAAGAAGGAAAAAUGCCUCGAAAUAUAUUAUUGAGGACUGUAGCUACAAUACGAGGUGCAACAGGAUAGAACAAUCUUAUUGAAUCUCUUUCAAUUUAUGCAUAUAUUGCCAAGAGUCAACACAAAACCUUAAUGGAAGAAAAGAGACGAGGAAAUUUUGAUGAUAUGAGAGAAGAAAGUUCUUCUAAGAGGCGAUCUCAAGGAGAUAAGGCUCGAGAGGCAGCUUCACAAGAAUUGCCUAUAAAUGACACUUCAGCAUCAUUGGAAGAAAAAACAAAAGAGACAAAAGUUAAGAGUAAAUCAAUUGCUUAUAAGCUACUUUCUGACAUUGAAGCAGCAACAGAUUUAAAAAAGAUGUUGGAAGAACAUAUAUUAAAUGUUAAGGUGGAAUUCACAUUGAAAGAAACUCUGGAAAUUACAAAGAAGGAGUUUCAUGAUGUUAUCAUUGACAACAUUAAGCGAAAGAGACAACAAAUGAGCAAAGCUGGAAUGAGUCAUGCUAUUGACGUAAGAAUAUAUAAAGAUGACAAAGAGGUUGAUAAUGGUUACAAGCAUUCAACAAAGAAAAAGAAUGGAUAUAAUCAAUAAAUAUAUUUCGAAGAUUAUAGUGAUAAGGACAUGGAAGCUUCAAGCCAUUAUACUCGAAAGCAUUGGGCAAGAAUAACUACUGAAGUAUUCGUGAAGGUAGGAGAUAUAGAAGAACCAAUUGUUGCUUUGGUUGAUCUUGGUUCUGAAAUCAAUCUUAUGUCUAAAGAUCUUUAUAAGAGACAAAAAUGGCCAAUUGAUAUGGAACAUGGAUGGGUAAUAUGAGCAGCUAAUAACACAUGGGGGGAAUUAUACGGAGCUUGUUCAGAUGUCAAAGUUUGAAUUGGAGAUGUUGCGACAGAACAACAUUUCUUUGUUCAAGAUACAACGUCUUAUCUGUUGAUUUUAGGACAACCUUAUAUUACGGCAACAUGGAUGGAAACAAAAGUACUUGACGAUAGUUUUGCUUAUGCAAGGAUAUGUGGUGAAGAUGGGAGAAAAGUUGUAUAAUUUCUAACAGUACCUCCUAAUCAUGAGUGAAAUCGAGAUAGGUUGCGGAAGAAAUCUUUGUCGAGGGUUGUUGGAGAAUUUAAGGAUUUUGGAGAAGUACCACUAUAAAGUGGGAUUAUGGAGGUACAAAAGAGGAGGUACUCUUGCAAGAUAUAGGUACCUUUGAUGCUAGUUUUAUUGGUAUUUUAAACAAUGGAAAUAUUAUGUAUAAGCGGGUUCAUGAACUUAAAAAAAAAAAAAAAAAAAAAAAAAAAUUAUAUAGUAUUGAAAGGAAAUUACGCAAGUUAGGGACAAUAAAAGAUGAUGAGAGGAUUUCCGAUAUUUAUGAAGAAAAUGGAUUGGAGGAUUCUUUGGAAUUAAUUGCGUAUAUUGGAUUAGGAGAUAAUGACAAGAUUGUGAAAAUUCAUUUGAAGGAGGUUUAUACUAUACUAGAAUCUUUUCAAGCACCAGAAGUUAUUGUAGAGACAAAAUAUAAAACAGUAGAUAAAAAGAUAAAACUUGUUGCAACACCUUUAUUAGAAGAUUUUAGGGAAAAAAUGGAAGAAGCAUCAAAAGAAGAGAGUUUAAGAAAUCCAAAGAAUAUUGGACAUUGGUUUACAAGGGAGACUUUUGAAGAAUUGAAGAUUGGAUGUGAUGGUUCUUUAUUUCCAGCAGAAAUUAAAUAUUUUUAAAAAAUGCUUGCUAAACGAGGUAAAUCAUUUGCCUUUGAAACUUGGAAAAUAGGAUGUGUAGAUCCUAAUGUUGUUGCUCCUAUGGUUAUCUUUAUAGUACCUCAUGUGCCUUGGAACUUAAGGCCAAUUCCAGUAUUGAGGGCAUAUUUACCUAAAUUGGUCGAAUUACUGAAAGAAAAGAUGAAAAUGAAAAUUCUAGAGCCUUUUUUUGCUCCGUAUUCUAGUCACUGGUUUACAGUGCCUAAGAAAAAUGGAUUGUUAUCUUUUAUUCAAGAUAUACAGCCAAUGAAUGCCGUAACUAUAAAAAAUACAAGUAUAUGACCUUUAAUAGAUGAGUUUGCAGAAGCGUUUAGGAGAAGGAUAAUUUAUUCAAUGGAUGAUUUAUAUUCAAGUUAUGAUCAAUUUCAACUUACGCAUGGGAAUAGAGAUCUAACGACAAUGAGAAUGCCAUUUAGAUUGCUUAAAAUGUGUACUCUCCUACAAGGUACUACUAACUUAGUUGCUCAUAUGUUGAAUGGAAUGAACAAACUACUAAGAGACUUCAUCCCUAAUAAAACUAUACCUUUUUUGGAUGAUGUUCCUAUUAUAGGAUGUAAAGAAGGAGAAAAAGACAAAACUUUAGAUGAGAGAGGGUGUCGCAAAUAUGCUGUUGAUCAUAUACCAGAUUGUGAAAAGAUUUUAACUUGACUUGAGGAAAUUCGUCUUACACUGUCAAGAACAAAAUCUACAUUUGGAAUGUAGGAAGUUCUUAUCGUUGGAUAUUUUUGUGGAUCUUAUGGGAGAAAGCCAGAUCCAAGCAAAGUUGAUGCAAUUGGAAGAAUGAAAGAUUCAUGUGACUCUUUAAUAGAAGUACGCAAGUUUUUAGGGGCUUGUAUAUUUUACAGUGUAUGGAUUCUUUAUUAUGCUCAUAUAGGAGAUCCAUUGUAUGAAUUAUUACGUAAGGGUUAUCAAUUUAAAUGGGAAAGAAAGCAUACUAAAGCAAUGCAAAAAAUAAAGGUAUUAUUAAUGACACCUCCAAUUUUAAGAAGAAUUGAUUACGACUGUAAUAGGUAGGUAAUUCUUACUGUGGAUACUAAUCCUAUUGCUAUUGGAUGGGCUGUGGAUCAAGGUGAUUCAAGUCCAAAUAGAUUUGUAGUUUGAUUUGGAGCUAAAGUUUUAAGUAUUCGUCAACGUAUAUAUUCACAAGUCAAAAGGGAACUUUGGAGAGUUGUUUCGGUUAUGAAAGCUAAAAAGGAUUAUUUGAUUGGGACAAAUGUAGUAAUUGAAAUAGAUUGCUUACCAUUGCUUGAAAUGAUUAUUAAUUAUUGGACGUCAGAUAUUACAAUGUUAAGAUAGAUUGCUUAUAUUAAGUCAGUAAAUCCGGAAUUUAGGCAUGUUGUUGGAAAUGACAAUUUGGUAGCAGACAUGAUAUUUCGAGCAAGAUACGAAGGAAAAGACGAAAUGGUUGAAGACAUUAAUAAUGUUGUCAUAUUGUAACAUGACUACAUAGUGAAAGAUGAUAACAUGGAUCUUAUUAAAGAAGAACCAAGUUAAAAGAAAAAGUAGAAAAAUAUGAAUCAAAGAUAGGAAGGUAGUAAAACUUUUAGUAGCAAUGCUGCUUUUUUAGAAAGGUGACUUUUACUUACUUUGUAGGGCCAUAAAUAAGGCAAAAUAAGGUAGAUUAGAAAAAUAAAGAAUAUAGGCAUAUUAAAGAAGGAAUUAGGAGUGCAAAUUAGUAAAAAUUACCUCAAGAAGACGAAAGUUGAUAUCCGAAGAGGACCGGUUAUGAACCUGGAUCGAAAUCAGACCUCGAGGCACAAAACUAUGCUCUGACGGCUAUUCAAGGAUUCUUUGGAAGAUCCGAGAGCCAAAUAAGAGAGAAGUCUUGUGGAGGAAUUUUGGAGAGGUAAUUUUGUAUCAUUUGGAUUAGUAUUAGAUUUUUGAAGGAUUUUCAAAGCGAGUAAUGUUCUCUGUGAAUUUAGAUCUUUGAGAAAUAAAACAAGUUUACAAAUAUUUGGAUUUCGUGUCUUUUAUAGCAUUUUUAUAGGUGAAAAUUUAGGAACUUAUUGAUAUGCUUGUUGUGAAUGUGUAUAAGAGAUUUGAGGUCAAUCAAAUGGCUAGAUCAAUACAUAUGAAGGUUUUUGUGGGCUAAGGUCUCGGGAUUUAGAGUUUUGAGGACUAGUAAGGUUUUCUUAGAUAUCUAGCAAUCUACCAGUUGGAUUAGAGAGAUUUUUAGUUUUAUCAGUAACAGACUUGAUUUUCUAUAUGCUAACAAAAUUUGAAAGAAAUCAAAUAUUGGAAAAAGAAGAUAUUAGCACUCGAAGUUGGCAUCAAGAUUAGAGAAGGAGAGACCAGCAGACAUCCAAGCGGAAUUUUGAGGUGAUCGACUAAUUAAUAAGUUCGAUUUUCUUCAAAAAUUUUUUAUUGAUUUUUAACUUAAACUCUAAGAAGUAUGCAAAUUUUGAAUUAGAAUCAAUGGUUCAAUCUUUAGUUAUUCAAUUUUCAAAUUUGUGAUUAGAGUUUGGUUAGGAUUUGGUUUAGGAUUUAGGAUUUGUUAGAGUUAGGAUAUGGUUUAGGAUUUGGUUUAGGAUUUGGUUUAGGAUUUUAUUUAGGAUUUAGGAUUUUGAUUAGGAUUUGGAUUAGGGUUUAGAUUUUGGUUUAAGAUUACGUUAAGGAUUGAUUUAAGGUUUAGAAUUUGAUUAAGGUUUAAUUAGGAUUUGGUUUAGGAUUUAGGGUUUGUCUAGGAUUUUAUUAAGAUUGGAUUAGAAUUAGGGUUUGGUUAGAAUUUAAGGUUCUAUUAGAUUUUUGUUAAGAUUUGACUGAAUUUUCUUUAAUAUAUUUUCUAUUUCUUUAAGAUUUUCUUGUGUUUCAUUUAUAACUUCAAUAAAAUUUAAUUGAGCUUCCUUAAUGUUUGAUUAUGAUUGUUAAUGUUUAAUUGUAAAUUCUCUAUGAUCCUAUUGGAUUGUCAGGACCUUUUAUUGUAAUUUUUUUUUACCUUCUACAACCAGAUGCUCGGUGUAUUCUCAAGCAAGUCUUCACAUAAUACGACAUAUUUGGUGAACCUGACGUAAAACACUUGAGGUCGAAGAAAUUUGGUUUUCUUUGAUUAUUUGAAUUUUGGAGAAGAAAGAUAAGAAAGUUAGAAGAAGUGCUGUGGAUGAUAUGUGAAUUCGAACUUUUGGAUUCUUGGAGCUUUAGAGACUAUUUUAAAAUACAAUGACAAUAUUUGGAAUAUCAUGGAGUAUUAUAAGACUUUAUAGAUAUGUUGGAGCAUUUUGAAGUAACAUAAGGUAUUUAUUGGAGCAUUUCAAGGAACAUUUUUUUAUCAUUGUAGAAUAAAAUGGAAGAUGUAUUAUCAAGGUUUUUGGAUAUGCCGAAUAUUAUGGAUGGAUCAAAUAUUAGUGAGUUUUUUAAAGCUUUCUAUAUAUUCAUGGAAGAGCGACAAAGAAUGUAAGCAAUUGAAAAAGAUAUCACAAGGGCAUUGCAAGGAGUCAUCAACAAAUUUGGGAGGUUUGAAGGAUGCAACAUCACUAAGUUUUUGCAAAUUUAUACAUGUGAGAUGGAGACAUGCCAAAUCUCUGAGGCAAAGAUGAUCUCAAGCUUACAUUUGGCUAUUGAACCUAAGUUUCAGGAAAAGAUGAAGGAAUUGCUUGAAGGAGGUAUAGAAACAUGGUCAAAAUUUCAAGAACUUUUGAAGAAAGAAUUUAUUGAUGGAUAUGAAGAUAGGAUUACCAAACAAAAGUUUUUGAAUUGGAUAGAAUUUCAAUCAGGCAUGCAUAUGGAUCUUUAUGAAUUCUUAGAAGAAUUUGAUAGGAGAUGUUAUCAACUGUCAUCCCCAGAGAGAUGAUCAUUGGAUAUUUUAAAGGUAGAUUUAUUUUUAAAUAGUCUUGAUGAUACCUUGAGAGAUGUAAUUUUCAUACUUCUUGAAGAUGAGUCUACAGAGAGUGAUUAUACUAAUAAUUGGAAGAAGUUGAAGGAAGUAGUGGUUGUUUUAGGAAGGCAACAAGAAGCAAAAGCUAAAGAAGUUUCAAUAUGGCCUAAGAAAUCUUCUACUUUGGCUUCUAUGUCAUCUUUAUCAAUGCAAGGGACUAAUCUUAAAAAAAGAGAAAUGAAAGAGCAAGUAGGAGAUUUUAAUGGAGAAGCCAAUUCUUUAUAGAUGAAAGAAAUUGGAUCUUAUACCAAGGGUGGUGAAGGAGAGAAGAAAGAUUCUUUUCAAACUAUUACUAUGGAAGGCCAAGGUAUCCAAAAAUUUGAAGGUAAUGCAAAGAUUAAGGAUUUGGAAACUAAUGAUAAUGCGGUUGGAAGCUAUGGCUAUUCUAUAUUGAAUAAGUUUAUACAAGUUGAUAAUGGCAAUUUAGAUGAAAAAUCUCUUAGUGAUAAAAAGAAAUUUUCUAUAUUUGAAGGAGAUGAGGAUGUUUUGCCUAAUACUUUGGAUUAUGUUGAAGAAUUUAAGAUUGAAUCUUUACAAAAAAUAGAUUAUGGAUCCAUUGAAGAUUAUAAUCAUGAAGAUUGUAUGAAUUCACAAUAUUGUGAUGUGAGAAGUGGUAGAAUUAUGCAUAGAUAUGAUGAUGAAAAUCAAAUUACAUAUGACUAUGAGACCACAUAUGAGUUGGGUGAAAGAAGUUAUGAGUUUUUACAUGAAGAGGGUUAUGAAAUUGUUUAAACUUAUGAUACUAAAUGUGGUUGUGAAAUCACAAAGGAUUAUUAUGAAAGUUAUGAGACAUUUCAAGAGCAUGAGAAUUUUGAAUAUUAUGAUAUUAUACAAUGCUUCUAGACAACAAAAGAUUAUGAUGUUUCACAAGGACACAUUCAAAAAGACAUGAAGGAUGUUAUACAAGAUUAUGUGGCAAAUGAAGAUUAUAGGACAAAAGAUAAGGAUGCUAAGUCAUUGACUAUGAUUAAGUUAAUUGUGAGCACUUCUCUUUUGGACCAAGGUCAAAGUUAUAAAGAUAAUGCACAUGUAAUGGAGACAUAAUUGGAUUUUGACAAAGAUAAAGUUUAUCAUGAAGUAUGGAAUUCAAGGAUUGAAAAUCUAAAAUUCUUCAAAUAUAAUGACAUGAAAAAUAGAUUUAAAGAUUACAUGGACAUCUUAAAUGGGACUUGGAAUCAAAGAAAUAAGAAAAAAGAUACAAAUAAGAUGUAUGUGGCUAUGAGGAAGAGGUUUCAAUUCAAUCUUUUCAUUUCAAAUUUUGUACCUCGUCAAUGGUUUGGUCAUGUGCAAAUGAGGAUAUUUGUAAACUACUUGCACAUAACAAGUAAAUGGAAAAAUUGGCAUUGAACUAUAUAUAUAUAUAUAUAUAUAUAUUGAAGAAGUAUCAUUGUAAAGCAAGACUAUGGAGGUAUAAAAAGGGAGGUACAUUUACAAGAUAUACAUGCUUUUGAUUUAAGUUUAAAAAAAAUAAAAAAAAAUAAAAAAUUAAAGAAGUAUCAUUGUAAAGCAAGACUAUGGAGGUAUAAAAAGGAGGGUACAUUUAUAAGAUAUAAAUGCCUUUGAUUUAAGUUUUAUUAAAAAUAAAUAAAUAAAUAAAUAAAAUUGGAGAAGUAUCAUUGUAAAGCAAGACUAUGGAGGUAUAAAAAGGGAGGUACAUUUACAAGAUAUAGAUGCCUUUGAUUUAAGUUUUAGUGAAAAAAAAAAUAAAAGAAAAUAAAAAAAUAGAGAAGUAUCAUUGUAAAGCAAGACUAUGGAGGUAUAAAAAGGGAGGUACAUUUACAAGAUAUAGGUGCCUUUGAUUUAAGUUUUAUUGGAAAAAAAAAAAAAAAAAAAAAAAAAAAAAUUGGAGAAGUAUCAUUGUAAAGCAAGACUAUGGAGGUAUAAAAAGGAGGGUACAUUUAUAAGAUAUAAAUGCCUUUGAUUUAAGUUUUAUUAAAAAAAAAAAAAAAAAAAAAAAUUGGAGAAGUAUCAUUGUAAAGCAAGACUAUGGAGGUAUAAAAAGGGAGGUACAUUUACAAGAUAUAGAUGCCUUUGAUUUAAGUUUUAUUGAAAAAAAAAAAAAAAAAAAAAAAAAAAAAAAAAUAGAGAAAUAUCAUUGUAAAGCAAGACUAUGGAGGUAAUAAAAGAGAAGUACUCUUACAAGGUAUAGGUGCCUUUGAUUUAAGUUUUAUUAAAAAAAAAAAAAAAAAAAUGAUUGAAAAAGAAUUAUGUGAGUUGGAAACAUUAGAAGAUAAUGAAAGAUUUUUGCUAUUUAUCAAGAAAAUGGAUUGGAAGAUUCUUGGAAAAAAUUGCAUAUAUUGGAUUAAAGGAUGAUGACAAUGGAAGCAAGUGAAGAUACUCAAACAAAAGCAAACAUAAAUAAAUAUAGAAGACUUUAUCCAAGACAUAAAUCUUUUACAACAACAAGAUGAUUUUGAUUUGAAUAGUGAAUAUGAAGAAGAAGAAUUGGAUGAGGACAUUGAAAAUAUUGUAUGAAUCAAACAAAGUUGGAUUAUUUGGUGCAUAUCAGAGGAUGCACAAGUUCAGAGGGGGUGGACAAAUUACUAAGAGACUUCAUCCCUGAUAAAACUAUACCUUUUUUGGAUGAUGUUCCUAUCAAAGGAUGUAAAGAAGGAGAAAAAGACCAAACUUUAGAUGAGGAAGGGUGUUGCAAAUAUAUUGUUGAUCAUAUACAAGAUUGUGAAAAGAUUUUAAUUCGACUUGAGAAAGUUCGUCUUAUACUGUCAGGAACAAAAUCUAUAUUUAGAAUGUAGGAAGUUCUUAUUGUUGGGCAUUUGUAUGGAUCUUAUGAGAGAAAGUCAGAUCUAAGCAAAGUUGAUGCAAUUGGAAGAAUGAAAGAUUCAUGUGACUCUUUAACAGUGGUACGCAGGUUUUUAGGGGCUUGUGUAUUUUACCGUAUAUGAAUUCCUCAUUAUGCUCAUAUAGCACACCCAUUGUAUGAAUUAUUACGUAAGGGUUAUCGAUUUAAAUGGAAAAAAAAGCAUAUAUGGAUGUAUAAGAAAAAUCACUGUAGAUCAUAGAGAAUUAAAUGCACAAGAAGCUCGUGAAUUCUUUGAAAGAUGUGGAAUUAAACUAUCAUUAACUAUUGCUUAUAAUCCGGAAGGAAAUGCAAAAAGUGAACGUGGUCACCUACUGAUUGUGAAAGCAUUAGUUAAAGCUUGUAAUGGAAAGGUUAGAGAAUGACCACAACUUUUGUCAUUUGCAUUAUGAGCUGAUCGAAGAACUCAUAGCUCAGUAACGAGAUGUAUGCCUAUUGAACUUAUAACAGGUCAAAAAUUAAUUAUGCCAAUUGAAGAAAAGGUACUUACUUAGAGUGUGCUACCAUGGGAACUUGGUUGCAAGCAGUCGAGGCAUACUUCUCAACAAUGUAAUACGCCAUUCAAUUUCAAUAAUCAAGAUCAGUAGAUCCAAAGCCAAGGAAAAAUUGAGGAGAUAAAUCAAGGUUCUCAAGAUACUUCGGUAAAUCAGGCGGAAUGUGUCCAAGCCAUUCUUACCAAGAGUCGACAAAAGGAGAAAGGACUAAUUUAAUAUUUGGGUGAGCUUGAUGCAAAGGACCAAUUUGAUCCAAUUACGAAGACAUCUGAUUCAGGUCCUAUUAUGGGCCUCUUACCCAGUAUGAGACCUGACUUGAUUAAGCAAUCCAAUGAGGUCUCGAAUAUGGAGGCUUCGGUUCCAUUUCAACCUGUUCCAUUCUCUAUGUCAUUUCAGAGAAAGCGUUCUUUCCAUAAAAAGAUCCUCUUAGAAACAAGAAUUUCGGAGAAGCGCCGUAAGCUGUUUCAAUUUGGAGUCCAAGGCGGGAGAAAAGGAGACCACACGUUGUCGUAUUACGUGCUUUCCUGCUCGAGAACGCGCCGGGCGUCUGGCUGUAGAAGGUAGUAUGGAGAUUCGUCGAUAGUCAAGCAGUCUAUCAGUUUUUGACUGCUGGAAUAUAAACGACUGCAACAAUGUACCGUAAAUCUAUACGGGUGCUCUUCGACUGCUUGUCGAAGUCCUUUUUGCCCCAGCCAGUAGGUCUCUAGACGUUACAGAGAACCCCGUACAACCCAAACUGUUAACCUUCAAUACUGCUUUGUACUUAUGAUCUUGUAUCCACUGACUGUCUUGUUAGAUUAACCCAAUAAAUUUCAUUCACUCCGCAUACUCAAUCCUAUAGACACCCUUUUAAUCCUUCAAUCACAGACGUAACUCGAUUUCACAAAACAGUCAAGAGUAUUCAAACCCACUUCAUUUAAAAAUCCCGAUUCACCAUUACAACACUGACUUCAGCAGCGAUUGCCUCAGUCUUCCCCAAAACUCUACGAAGAAGAAAAAUCCAAAUCCUAUGUCUUUCCUUCCCCGACCCGAAGCAUGAAGCUCCUCUCUCUAAUUCCCUUGAUCUUCAAAAACCUCCCAUCCCCCAUAAAAACCCACACCACUCCAAAACUAUAUCCCCCCUAACCUUAUCCUCUGAAUUUCUUCAAUCUUCCGUCUUAGAUCCGGAAUUGGCCCCCACCUCAAGCUUGGAUCCAAAAUUGGCUCUCACCUCAACUUGGAUUCGAAAUUGGCUCUCGCCGCCAAGCUUUCUCCUCCGUUUUUACCUUUAAGAAAUCCAUUUACCGAAAAUAAUGUUCCCUGAGACGGCACAGAGAACAGGACAGCCAGAAAUAGAAUCGAACCCCGUAAUCGGGACCACAUUGAGUCGCCCGACCAAUUCAGGUCCUAUAUUGGGAAGGAUGCCCGUAGUAACCUGGAUGUUCCCGUAAUUGGGUCCAAUUGGUCCUCGCGUCAGAUUGGCUAAGACCCGUAGUAAGACCUGGAUUUCUCGUAACUAGACUGCAUUGGGUUGCCCCACCAAUACAGGUCUCAUAUUGGGUAAGAGGACCCGGAUUGGAUUAUCGAAAUUGGAUCCAAUUGGCUCCUCGAACCCGUCGUGUGAAUUAGUCCUUCUCUUCCUGCUGACUCCCGUUAUUGGAAUCGAACGGGGCAUUCCAGUAUGCCCCGGCUGACUGUAACGGAGUCACUGAACUUGACCACUCAGUAUUUGUACUGGAGUUGGUCGAUGCUCCCAAUAUUCGAGGUAACUGAAUAUUAAUAAAAUUCCCCUUUCUUUUUAUUUUCACUGUAUACUCGUGUUACAACACGACAACGUAGUUAUAAGAGAAGAGAGGAUAAGGAAAGGAGCAUUCGGAGAUGAGUUUUAGUGUUGGAGAGCUAGCUUCAAGCUCCUUCAAAAGGUGUAGAAUUGGAUUUUCUAGGAUUUGGGAGAAUUUUGGCAAUCAUUGCUUAAAGUGAGUAUUUGUAUUGAUAAAUUGGAUUUUUUGGAAUAAAGUAAUGGCUAGUAUUCUUGAUUGUUUUGUGAAAUUGGAAAAUAAUCAUAAAUCCUAAAUCCUAAACCUGGAUCGAGAUUCAAACUUACUUCUCAAAUUUCUUUAUUUCGAGAUCAAUGACGAAUUAAUGAAGAAUUCAAGAUAAUUCGACACGAAGGUGCUACCACCAAUAGUUGCUUCAUAGAGAUCGUGGACUGUAUAGUACCCAAAUCUUUUAGAAUAUCAUAUGGUUCUGUAUUAGUGGUAAUUCCUAAUGUUCGUUUCUUCUUCUCAAUCCUAGACACUGACGCAGGUAAAUUGAUUUUCUCUAUAUUAGAAUUUGGUAGAGCUACUGGAAUUGAAUUUGACGGAGCUUGUAAAAUCAGUUCUUUCAACGGGUAAGAUUGUUCUCCCAAUUGGGCUGAUAUUCAUUUCUUAGAAUUCAUGCCUCUUAGAAGAUCUUUCAACAGAAACGACGUUUUCUAAAACUGUAUAGAGAACAGAAUAGCUUGACACGAAACCGAAGCCUUCGUAAUCGGUACCUCAUUAGGAUGCACAAUCGAUUCAGAUCUUAUACUGAGUAAGGGACCCAUAUCAGGACCUCGAUUGGAUGUCCCCAUAAUUAGGUCCAAUAGGUCCUUUGCUUCAAGAUCACUCAAAUGUUGAAUUGAUCCUUUCUCUUUUUGUUGACUUCUUGUAUGGAUAGCUUAGACUAAUUCUACUCGAUGAACUAGUGCAUCUUGAGGACCUUGAUUUAGUUCCUCCAUUGUUCCUUGGCUUUGGAUCUGCUAGUCUUGAUUAUUGAAAUUGAAUGGAGCAUUACAUUGCUGAUAAGUAUGUCCCAACUUCUUGCAAUUCAUACAUACUAGCGCAUAAUUGUCAUUGGCUCUGGGAUUGGGACAUUCAUUGGCAUAAUGACCAAUCUAUAUGCAACGAAAACAAUGAAGUGGUUUUCUUGUACAUCCAUCUGGCAUAUUGGGUGUCUCCAUCGAUAUAUACUUACUAAGCUUCUUCCAUGUAGGAUUAGAAAAUGAUCCUGGUUGUCCUGUUGAUAUGGAGGGUACUUGGUUCGAUGACAAUAGUGGAGCAUAUUGCUGAUACCUCUACUACUCCUUUCCAUAGUUCUGGGGAUUUGAUGCAGACCCUUUAUUAAAAUUGAAACUUUGAAAAUUAUUGAAUGUUUGAUUUUGUUAAUUAGAUCGAUUUCCAUUCCAUCCAUCUGUAUUUUCCAUUUGAAUUUGAUUGACUUCCAAGUGAGAUGGUAGGAUCAUGGUCUGAUUUCUGAAUUGUUGUUGCCUUUGUAAAUGCCAGUAAUUUUGGGUAGGGUGUUUUCCUCUGUAAAAUAUACAUUGAACACCCGUUUGUUUGAGUGAUGGACAUUCCAUAUCAAAAUGACCUUGUUCCUUAGAAUUGUUACACCAUACAUUAGGUCUUGUAUUAAAAGGCUUAUGUCUUUUUUCUUUAUCUUUAGUCAAAUUCAUGACCAAUUCUUCCAUCUUCUUUCUUAGAUUUAAUAACAAGGCUUCAUUUGGAUCUUUGACAGUCGUAUUUGUGAACAACUCUAGUUGUUGAUAGGUUGGCAAUGUAAAAUAAGGUGUCAUCAUUAUUGACGCUAUUGCUUGGAAUGGUGUGGCAUUAAUUGGUUGUUGCAACAUAACAUUCUUCACAUUUGUGGAUAAUUACCUAUCGACACUUGUUCUGAUUGUAUUUGUUGACUUCCUGAACUUGGAAUCAUCAUAGCCUCCAUUGUUAAUAAUUGGUCAUAAUAACAUUCUUCCCACACCUUUGCUCGUGCGAACGAUGCCUCUACCAUAGUUGAUCGAGCCUCUUUUACAAAAAAAUUUAAUUCUGGUUGAUGCAAACUAUUGAUUAAUAUCGACGAUAUAAAUACAUCUAGCAUUUGAUUAUUUGACCAUUUACAAAGUAUAUCCGUGAUCCGGCCAUAAUAGAAUUCUACAAAUUCUUCCACAAACAUCCUACUAUUCAUAAAACUUUCUCAAAGCUGAUCUUCAAAUCCAAUUGGUCUAAAAUGAGUUAGGAUGGUAUUCUUCAAGGCCUUCCAAUUAGAAAAUCUAUCCACUCGUUGUCGAAUAUACCAUUUAAAAGCUGUAUCUUUUAAAGUUACUAGCAAUCAUCUCAAUUAAAUGUUUUCAUUUCUACCAUUAUUAGCCACGUAGGCUAUUAAGAAUUGAGAUAUAUGGUGAUCAGGAUCAGAGUUCGGCCAACCACUAAAAGUAGGUAAUGGUACCACACUUAUAGUUCGGUCUUCUAUUACUCCUAUUUGCACCGCAAUUGGUACUUCUAGCACUAUCGCGGCCAUUGGUAUUAUUACUAGUCUCCUUACUAUUUGAAUCUGAAUUUUUCUUCCUUUCGUUUUUCUUAGACCUGUAAUUCCUUUUUGUCGUUUCCAUAGGAUAUUUCUUAUGCGUAAUCACUCUUGUCUUUCUUUUGCUUGUUGAUUAAUUCUUUGAUAAUCCUCCUCCCCAUGAUUAUCACUCAUAAUCUUUCAUUCUUCUUUACAAAAUCAAUACUACCUUGAAUUAUAAUUGUAAUUGUCGUUUUACCUAUUCUAUAAAUUUCUUUCAAAAUAAACUUGUAUAGGAGAAUUUGAACACAUAGAAAGACUAAGCGCAUGAGAUUUAUGAGUUAAGGUCACACAAUUAAUUGUAUUCCAAACUACUAAAACACCAAGAAAUACUACAAUGCUUCCUUCCAGUAACAAUACUCCUUCAUCAACUGAUAACAACAGUGUGCAACCUUGCACUCUUAAAAGACUACUCAAAACUCAUAAAUUCGAUCCAACACCAGGAAUAACAGACUUCACUCCAACCAAUUUGGAUUCACAAAAUUUUUGUAAUUAUAGACUUCUUCUGUCUAAAAUACACACAACUCUCAAUAAACAAUAAUCAUCAUCUUCCAUCCAUAAUCAAUCUUUUAAUAAUUUUUCAUAUAAUUCAAUCACAUAAUACUCCAAUUACAUUAUCAAUAACUCAUAAAUCAAUCUCUGAUUUAUUCUACAAAUCCACUUCUUAGUAUUCAAAAAUUAUCCAUUAUACUUCAACAACAAAGAAAACAAAGAAAAUAAAGAGGUAGCACCAAGUUUAACCUCGACUCAUGACUAUCACAGUUUGAUACUCCAACAAACUUCUACAACUCCUAUAUAAUUACUAUUGAUUUUGAGAUCCUAACCUUAAUCUUGUAAUAAAUCACUUUUAAUAAUUAAAUCAACCAUCCGUCCUCUUGAAUUGACUAUUCUAUUGACUAUUAAUCUACUUUAU
rnacentral:lncRNA from 1 species